rnacentral:lncRNA from 1 species
UAACUUUCGUUAUUUUAUUCAUCAGAACAUAAGCCUAUUAAAUAGGCAGAACAUCCAAACCACUUAGCAAGAAAAUAGCUAUAGAACAACAACAACAAAGACCCACUAACAUACCCCACUAACCAGAACAUAUGCAGAAACUAACUCCUAAAAACAAGCCACUUCCUAUUGACUAGGACUCCACUAUUACAUUAUUGAAGACACAUAAAAACAAAGUUAACUACUUCAACAAUUGAUGGUGUCACUUCAAGGAGUUCUCAAUGUCGAUCACGAAUCGAUACUUAACAUCUCUCUUGAUGAGCCUCUCCAGAGCUUCGUUGGCAUAAUCGAUCGGUAUCACUUCGAUGUUUGGGUAUAUCUUCUGUGCUGCACACAGGUCUAUCAUUUCUUGGGUAUCCUUUGUUCCUCCCGUUACGCUACCUGAAACAGUUCUCAUAUCUGCCAAAAGUUCACCGCAAGCAACUUAGUUCACCUAUCAGGUAUAAAAUUUCAUUUAGUAAUCAGAUUUGAGAACAAAAACAUACUGAGGUUAAGGCUGGCUGGACUGAAUUUAACUUCGCUCAGGAAGCCGACCAAUGCUAGAAUGCCACCCGUCUUCAAAAGAGACAUGUAAGGAUCAAAUGGGUGAUCACCGGCUGCCGUGUCGAUUAUAAAGUCCAGGGACUUAGCAAUGGCCUGCAUGCAUUGGAUUUAUCAGAUCACAACAGAAUUUGACCACCAUGGAUCUCAAUGUGGAUAAUUCUAGUUUUUCCUCUUUUUACCUUCAUCUGCUCUAGGUCAGAUGAGAUAACGAAAUGGUCAGCCCCAAGCAGGCUCAGUGCUUCCUCCUUUUUAGAAAUGCUUGUACUGAACACUGUGACUUUCAGUCCAAAAGCCUUCCCAAACUUAACUGCCAUAUGACCGAGCCCGCCAAGUCCAAUUACACCUAGAGACUUACCAGGUUGGUUCAUCUUGUGACGUAUCAUUGGAGUGUACACCGUGAUUCCAGCACAGAGCAAUGGCGCUGCUAGAUCCAUCGGGUAGUUUUCUGGAAUCCUGAAGCAAUACCUGUCAAUGAAGCACCACAAUUAAGUUUCCAAAUAACACCAAGAGAGGAAGUGAUUUCCCAAUAGAAUCAGCAUCUUGUCUUUGUUGUCUAAAAGGAAUCAAAUCACAGAGCCAGAAAUCCUAUCUUCUGCAUGCUUGGGAAUUUUACUUGCUUAGACCACAAUUCAGCAUCAUGUUGUUUCUGUGAUCCUUGUUCUGACCACAAAUUGCUCUAGACAAACAUUUCUUGCUGUAGCAAUGUAAAUAAAGCAAUUGCAGAAUACAGGAGGCCACACUCGAUUAAAAUUAAGAAAAGACACUUGCUCUAAGAAAGGAAACUGGUGGCAUAUCACAUAUGCUUGACUGAACACGUAAUUUCUCUAUUUCCUUCAAUCAAUUUCUCCAAGGGACACAAGAUUCCUGUGGCUCUAUCAGAUACAAGAAUUAGUGAAAGCACAUACAUUUAGCUACCCAUUUGAUCUGAUACUUAUGAUCUAACUCUAACAAUCUAAGGACAGCUUAUUCCAUUCCUGACAAUGGUUAUUGAAAAGAAAGAAUUUCUUUUUGCAUUUAAUAAAGCCAAUUCUCCAUUGAAUGGUUUGAAUGGUAAUUAGAUACAAAGGACUUAAAGACUCUCCAGAGCCGUUAUAGAAAGUAUCUUUAUCCCUUUCCACAAGAUGCAAUUAAUACCUAAAAGCCAUUCCUCACAGUCCUAUGCAUUAUGCCACUUCUGGUCACAAUCAGAAAUUCAGAAUACAAAGAAAAUUAGCAGAGAAGAAGACAUGACAUGAAAUCUUUUUUUGGCCACCAUGAUUUGGAAUUCUGUCACAGUGCAAAAUGCUGCCUAAUAACGCUGUGUCAAUAAGCAAUUACCUUUCAUGGAUGACAAUGUGACUAGAAUAUCCUCCCUUUGUGACUGUACCGUCCGCAUCGAUUCCAUCAAAAGUCAAAACCGCCUUUUCACAUUGGGUUUCUAGCCUGUCAUUGCAAUACUCACACUCUCUGCAUGAAUUGACAUAAGUUCCCACCCCCACAUGAUCGCCAACUUUGAAGCGUUGGACACUGGAGCCAACCUGUUUCACAAUUCCAACUAUCUCGUGCCUGAAUCAAUCAAAAAAAUCAUUUGCAAAUUUUGUUCAGAGAAUUAUGAGGAUGGUGCUAAGAAAAAAAGAUUAACAUUUGAAUCACGCUGCAUCCUACCCUGGCACCAGAGGAUACUUGGAGUGUCCUUGCACAUUCCUAGUCCAAGCCACAUCUGCAUAGCACACUCCACAGUGCGUGAUCUUAAUCGAGACGUCUUCGCUUCCCACGGCCCUAAAGAGAUGAUUCCCAAACAGGUGAGCAUAUAAUCCAGUGACUAAUCAGACUAGGGUACCUUUUUUUUUCCAUUUUCAAGAUCAACAAACUAAGCUUGACCUACGAUUAUCGAGAAAACAAGAAACCAGAAAUGAGAAAAGGAAAAAUUCCAUGACUGCAAGCAUAUUUGUCCAUACGCUAGAUACAACCUCAAAUGCUCAGAAAGGCAGCCAGUACAGGAUCCUCAUGUCUGCCAUGAAAUUCUGAGUAACCCAUUACCAACAAUUCUCGACCCAGAAUUCAGCGCAUACACAACAAAAGAAAGAACGAAAAAAUGAAAUGGUCUGGACCGAAAACUGUCUCGCGUGAACACUGUACUGAGACUCUCGCAUGAACACUUUCGGUAGAAAUCGAAAAAGAAAAAAAAAUGGCAAUACCUGCGGGUGAAUUUGUAGGGGGAGAGGAACCCAGAAGGGUCCCGGGCAGCCCAACCGAGGCAAUCCUCCUUCCCACCCUCCGAGCUCAUCUUCUGUACCUACACACCCAGCGAAGCAAUCACACAAAUGGGUACGGUUAGAUUCAUCCAAAGGAGAAGAAGAAAGGGUGAGAACUCGAACGAGAAAGUGCCCAAGAUCAGAGACUCAACGGGUCAUCACUCGGCGAGGACUCGAGUCACAACGAGCUCGCCAUCACUCACCAACUCACUCACUCACCCACACCCACCUACCCAAACACAACCCCACGGGCCACAGCAACUCAGAGAGAGAGAGAGAGAGAGAGAGAGAUGACUACGGAGAUGGAGAUGAAGAGAGGUUACGCUGUGGAGUAUGCAGGAGCGCGAAGAGGGUGACGAGCCGAGCACAGUCGAGGACGGGAGGUUCAACGAAGACUUUUUUGCCCCCUCCUACUUCGCAGGAAAGCUGCGAGUAAUCCGAUGGAUUUUAUAGCGUUGGCCCGAGAUAGUUACGAAAAUAUUGGAAGGAAAAAUUAUCCGAAACUUUAACUCAACAUGUACCGUGAUCUAUAAGGAAAAAUAUAGUAUAUAGAAAUGAAAGAUGAGUAGAAAAAGAAAUGGACGAUUGCUGUCAAAUUAAAACUAUUCCCAAGUCAACUUGUCGGUCCCUUUCCUUCCAUUAUAAUCCUUUUUUAUAAUGUAACUGAAGAUUACUGGCUUUGUCACAACCAACGUAAACCCUCCAAAAGGUAAAAGAACUUAUGCAAAAGUAUAAAAAUGAAAGAUGUGUUGAAAAAAUGAGGACAAUAACCAAACGCGUGCAACUCAAUUGCACUUUUCGAUAAGGAUAAACUGUACCUCUCCUCAUCAUUGAAAGAGAUGGGAUUAAAUGCCUCUCCUCAUCAUUGAAAGAGAUGGGAUUAAAUGCAGACGUGAUUGACAUAGAGAUUAUCACAAGAAAUUAAAUAAAAAUAAGUCUUUCUUGGUAACGAGAUGUUUGUUCUCGUGACCGUGUAGGUCUUUCUAGGUUCUCUGACGCGUGCCAUGAGGUCAUGGCAUGUUAUGCAACCAAAUAUAUCCAUUCUAUAUUUCUAUGGUAACUAUCCAUCGUUACCUCCUGUGAACCUAAGAAGAACAAAACCAAUCCAUAAAGCUGUGGAGGAUCAAGAACAACCUGCCAUAAGUUAUUGAUGAACUCAGUUAAUUGUUCGAAGCCUUAGAAGCGAAUCAUUAAAACUUUAAGCAACUAAAAUGUCAGAUGCCAAACAGAAGGAAAAUCUACAGAGCCAACAUCUGGAUCGGAUCAAUGAUGGCAUAUCAACAACUAAGGGAAAAAUCUGCUACUAAAUAUUUAUCUGAAACUAGAGGAUGACGUUGCACUUGCAUAACUCCGUUAACGCAGAUCAAUGGUCAUGCUCUGUCUAGCUUUGUUAGAAGUUUGAAAACUCUACACGGACAGGCACUAUUUGCAAGAAGACGUGUUCCCUAUGCUCAUCUUUGUACUGAGCUGGAAAUGCUUUUAGCAGAUAGCUGUGCCUCCAGAAACAAAUCGCAUGAAGUGGCCCACAAUUCUCUGGCAAGUCCGGUGUCGUACGAAACUGAAGAAGAGUUGAUAGUCCGGCCCCUCCCACCAAAGAAAUACACACCAGAAAUUUCCUAUUUUUGCAAGACAGCGGCUAUUAGUAAGCACUGUUCCAACAUAUAAUAGCAGCCACAUAAGAUUGAUACCAUAGAUUAUCAGCAGAGAAGGGAAAAUCAAUUCUGGAAACAUACUGUCAUACCGUAGAAUCAACAUUAAUGGAUUUUACGUCCAAUGUUAGUGUGACCUCAGUUGAGGAUAAAACGAGAGAGACUCAUUCAAGAUGGUUCAGAUAAGUGAAGCACCAGUACAGGAAUGCUUUACACCAGCCUAUUUAGUGGGAAAAGAUCACUAUCACCCAUAAAUGCAGCUGUGGUUGCCUAUUGAGAUGAAACCCAGGUGAUUUCAUUGCAGUCCCAUCUAGCAUAUAGCAGAAAUUAAAGAUAAUGAUUGCAGUCAGAAAAACUCACAGGAGGGGCAAGGGCUGCAUCCAGAACUGAGUUGACCGCACCUUCAGGUGAAUCCAAAAGACCCAUUGCAGUUAAAAAUGCAAAAGCUGUGUAGGACAGGUAAGGGGGAACUUCUCGCAUGAUACUGGUUUUCACUACUCCAGGAUCCACAGCACUGGAAAUAAAAAAGAAACAGGAUAACAUCUCAAUUGUGCUGCCAGCAUGUAUUCAUACACAAAACUUUAGAGAAAGACAAUCUACAAAGCCUAAGUACAUUUUCUUGUUUAUAAUCAACUAGUAUAGUAUCUCUGAUAACAAAAACCAGGUUUUCAACUAAAAAGGGAUAGCUCAUAGAUUUGUGGAAAGUGGUAAGUGGAAAGUUCAAAUUCAACUACCAUACAAACUUAAGGGUGAGAUUACACUGUCCUACAAGAAUGCUUAAAUCCAGAGUGGCAGGAUUGUUGAUACAUACAGAAUGGAAACAUGACAGGAGCUUUCCAAGCGAAGGCGUCGAUGAAGUUCAUAUGAGAACAGCAGAAGGCAUACUGUAAACAAACAGGAAACUCUUACUAAAGUUUGUGAGAAGAUGUGACAUUUGCUUCUCAAAUAUUGCUGUAUCUUUUAUUCUAUCCUUUCCUUUUUGGUGCUAGGCUUCUCGAAUAAAACAUGAAACUUACAUUUUGAAUAACCAUAGAUCUGUGCACAUGGAUACUGUUUCAUCCUGAAGGAACUCUUCCCAAUAACACUUUCCUUGUCAAAUGUCGCACCACAUACUGAAGAAGAGGAGAACCGAGGAAAAGGAGAUUUUAAAUAAAUAAAUAAAAACUAUGACUCUAAACCUAGUAUAACAAUUGCACUAAAACAGAAACUGCACAGAGAAGUUGGACAGCAAGAAACUACAAGCAAACAAUACCAACUAUUUGACAUCAUAAAAGAGUUCUGUAACUUAGACAUUGAGUACAGCUAUAUUGCAUGUUCUAGUUUUAGCUUGCUAUCUCAGGCACUGUUAAAGUCCUAGAUGGGCACCAUAUUUAGUUCACUAAUUGAAUGAAAAAAUGACAUGCCAUAAGGGUCAGCAAGCCCGGGUUUCACAGAGGAACCUCCUUGCAGGCUGGCCACCGGCUGCAAUCAGUGUUCCACAGAUAAAUGGAAGUGUUUCUGACCACAAAGUGAAAAUAUCUUACCGCUUCGAUGUGUAAAGGACGUGACAUUGACUAUCCGGGAUGGAACAGGGCUGUUUCUGAGAAGUGGUAAUAAAUGCUUUGUCAAAAAGAAUGGUCCCAUGUAGUUCGUUGCCAUCAUCCUGGUGCAUAAAGAGGUGGAGAGAAGAAUCAACAGGAGAUCAGGCAACAAUGCAUUAUGAAAGACUGCAAUUAAUAAAUUCCAUUCCAAAAAGAGAAAAGCAAAACAGUGGGAGAUGCCACUUGCUACCGUGGCAACAAAUCUCCACAAGUAAACUACAAGUUGACAAGGUAUAUAGGAAAAUCAAAAUCACUAGAACAUUAGACUUUCAAUUGGGAAAGUGACGACACUAUUAUCGUUACUUAUUUAGAAAUUAGAACAUAUGCAUCUCAUUAGUUAAAUCUAAAACAACAGAAUAUAUAUUCUCCACUGUGACUGCUGUAGUGUUUAGAUUGCCAAAUAUUUGGAUCUUUGGAAAGAAUAUUGCAAAAAAAUUCCCAUGGCAAUAAGAUAAUUACUCAUCGAAGCCUUCAGCUGUAAUUCUGUAGGAUGUUGCCAACAUUCCAGCAUUAUUUAUCAGAAGCUGGACUGAGGCAUGCAUAUUUGAUUCCAACAGCCAUUGCUCAAGGGAGCAUCUGAAGUGUAAGAUUGACUCGAUAGAUGAUAUAUCAGCUUGAAAAGCUUUAAGAUGGGCAUCCUUAUUGUGUUUACAAAUCUCUGCCACUCUCUGUGACCCAAAAAAAAAAAAAGAAUCAUUGAGAGCAUCAUGUAGAGCAAAGAAGCUAAAACGGAUGCCGCACAACAAGUACCUCUGACAACCUGUGAGCAGACCGUCCAACUGCAGAGAAAGCAUAAAUUUCAGUUAAAUAAUUGUACCUGCAUGGAUCAAAACUCAUUCUUCUUGUAACAAAGAAAAGAUGCAUUUUGCAUUAACUCUAAGGACAACAAACAGUCAUUCGUACAUUAUUUGUCACAUUAAGCAAUUGACAAGCUUUUCUCUUUGCUUGAAUCACCAAGUAAAGACCAGAGAACAUUCAUAUAUCUACCCAUAACUCUUCCUAUGAGAGUGUUCAUCACAGACUGGUGGCAUUUAUGUAGACAGCCUAUUUUUUUUUCCUCCUAAUGUAGCUAUCAUCAGGAUGAUCCAGCACAAGCAAUCACAGAAAAUCCAGGCAUGGGGUUGAACUAAGUGUUGCUACAUCCAUAUCAAAGGAAUGAGGAGGAUAAACCACAGACUGCGACAUUACCAAGGACAACAACGAAACCUUCUUUUGAAAGAGCAUAAGCAGCCGCUGCACCCAAACCAGAUGUAGCCUGCAGGCAAAAGGCAGAGAAAGCUCUCAGUAGGAUAAUCUAAUUGAGGACAUUUGCUACUAGCAAAAGAAAUCCGUCUUACGCCGGUGAUAAUGCAGAGAGGUCUCAGAGGAACUUCUAUGUUGGCAUUUCGAGGGUAUGAAACAAUUCGACCAAAAAGACCACGGCUGAAGAAUUGCCAGUAUGAGGCCAGCAAAGAGAACGUCCAAAGUACUGCCAUUAUCCAGAAGUCUACUGUACAAAUGAAACAAAAAGCCUCGACCAACUCCUUUGACAUUAUUCUCAUCUUUGCCACCAUGGACUUCUUACCUGUGUUGGCAAAGUGAAAACAACAAAACAAAUUCAGGAUACUAAUAAAUCCAACAGAAAAGUAUAUGCGCACGGUAAAGUCCUAAAGUUUAUUGGAUUAGGUAGUGGAACUCGAAUUUAAAUCAAGUGAAUGUCACAAUUAAGUACUGGAGAGACCCAAUCUACGGAGAAAACACGCACCCUUACAUGACCAGUGCAGCAAAAUGAGUGCCUUGUUAUUUGACAGUCAGAGUUGAGACCUCAGUGUUCAGUCUACAGGAAAAGUUUUAGCAACCUCGAGAGAGGUAAGAACUAGGCAGAUCUCACUAUGCAACCAUAAAUCAACUAACUUCAGGUGUACUUUCAAACAAAUUCUUUGACCAAGCAUCUGAGGGAAAUCAACAAUACAGAGUUCAACAUUCUAGUUCGUAAAUACUUUGGCCUUUUCAUUGUCAUGUAUGAAUGACGGUUUCCCUAUUGUUUAGAAUGUACAGCUUUGAAGUGUCUUAAUGCCACCUUGUCUUCCCACCACAGCAAACACAGACCCAGGUAAAGGAAUCAAAUGUUAAAUCCAGUCUUAAUAAAUUUACACAUCACAACACACAACCCAGUGAGCUUACUUCAUCGGUUAGAGUCACCAUGCUCACCCAGAGUAACAAGCACACCAUCAAAAGUAAGAUUAACAGAGAUAGCAAAUGAUAUAGCUUGUUUCAAAAUGAAAUUCUGUUCAUUUCCAAGCUCCAGACUUUCCACAUCAAAGCUUGACGUCUACUCACCCUAAACAGACGCAGCUAUAAAAUUAUCAUCUACCAGCAGAACUCGUGAAAUUCCACACAAUUCAAACGGGCCUACACGCACGUCACCGACCUAGACACGUUCCCUAUUAAACAUUAAACAAUCACCACCCCAAAUCAUCUCCAAGCUCAACGUCCUCACCAUGCAACAGCUCCAGAGCUCCAAAAAGACCCAACAAGUUUUUCGCCAACCUUCACGUCAACUCAAGCUCCCCCGCUCACUUCCUCCCUGACAAUACACACCCCCCACGAAGCGCGCUCUAAGAAGCAUUACGUCAAACACAUUGGGGACAUCGAAACUCCGGGCAGAGUUCUCCCACGAACCCAACGCAAAUGGGCAUCCACGAAAACAGGAACUUGCAGAGAGGCGAACGCGGGCGCUCGUGCAGAUCACUGUAAAGCUAUUGCAACGAAACGUGAAGGGUUGCGCCGGAAACGAAAGGGCGACUCACGGGGAACGUGAAAGGGUCGAAGGAACGAAGGAAGGCGAGAGCAGAGACGGGUCGCCUCGACUCGACACGGUUCUCGUCGAAACCAGGAGAGUCUUGAGAUUGACUGGAGGAAAAAUCCGAGCUUUACAAAAAGUUAGAUGCAGGAUGAGACGAACAUCCGGUUCUUCAACCCGAGUAAAAGCGUUGACACUAAGGGCAAACUUUUCCUUGCAUAUUAGGGAGAAUUAAGUGGGAAAUUUUCGUUUAUCGAAUUCGCCAACAUGUUUUCCAAAAAAAAAAAAAAGGAAAAAAAGAAAUCACUAACGUAAUUUCAUUCACUAUCACCCCUUUUGAAAAAUCAAAUCCAUGCAUGGGACCGAUUAAAUUUCAUUCGUCAAUCAGUACUCUUUUGUAUGAGAACUUGAAGAAAGAAUGACUCGCAAAAUACAUAAAAAAAAAUGGAACAUCACAAGAUAUGCAAAAAUUACUGUAAAAGAAUCAUAGAUUACAUGUUCUAACAAAAAGGAAUCAUUUAUUGCAUUUGUGUGAUGUAAACUAUACUGGAAUUAUUUCUUGUAAAUCUUGAGAGUGGUAGUAAUUGUGUCAACAUUUGGAAUCCUAUUAGGGAUAAAUAUAUUGAAAAUAUUAAAAUUUGUCACGAAGUUACAAUUUAACCCUAAAAUUUGACCAAAAAAAAAAUUCCAAUCAAAUUCUAAAAUUUGUUACAAAGUGUAAUUGAAUUUUUAAAACUUUUAAAAAGUACAUUCAAGUUCUAAAUUUUAUUAACAUUUUUCGUUUGUCAAAUUUGAUGGAGUUUAGGAAAAUACUUGAUUAUAUUAACUUGUCAAGUUGGCUUGGGCCAAGUUUGGCAUACCUAUAGUCCGUCGGAUCCAUGUUAAGGUCUACUAGCUUUGACCCUCCCUAGCUUUUGGGCUGGAUUGGGUCGCUGCGCCCAGCCCUUGCAGGAUCUCUCUCUCUCUCUCUCUCAACUUUCCCUAUGUGUUUUUUGGUUACUUUAACAUUUUUAUUUGUCUUUUGAAUUAAUGAUCUCACGUGGCAUGGUUCAAAUUACUGGGGUGUCAGAACCAAAACCAAAACUAAAAUCUAACCGAAAUUUCAUGCAUUUUUUAUUUGAUUUGGUUUUGGUUAGGAUAAUAGAAAGAUAACGGUUAUUUGUUUUCGAUUUGGUGAAUCGAACUGAAAUCCUUAAUACAAAUAAAUGCACAACUUAAAAUCCCUCCUUUUUCUCAUCUCUUAUUCUAUUUGAUUCCAAUGAGAAGGUAAAAAUCAAAAAACCAAAAACUGAAAACUGAAUUGAAAAUAAUCCAAUCGGAUUUUUAGUUCAGUUUGUAUUUGAUUCAGAUCGCAACUUGGUUUGCUUUAAUUACUUAUCUUAUCAGUUCGGUUUGGUUCGGACUUUAGGACAUUCGAACUAAAUCGAAACGUUGACGCCCCAUUAGCCACAUAGAUGAAGUCAUGUCUAUAAUUCAACAACGUUAAUUAUGAUGGUUGACGACAGAGUCAGCAAGAUGCAAAAGAUAUAGAAAUACAUCAAAAGAAGGAAAAAAUAGUUAGAGGACCCAAUCGCAGGAACAUCAGUACUAUAUCGAGAACAAAAAAUUGCUAUGAACUAAAUCAUACAUUAAAAGUAGGAAACAAGGAGAACUAACACGACCGUUAAUAGCAGCAUUGACAUCUAUGUCCAUGGAGAAUUUUUCUUACGCAACUACCACAGGUGGAUCCCAGCUAAUUUGCUGUCUAUCUAAUCCCGGGUGAAAACGGUCGGGCCUUGGUUCGGAGCCGUCGAGGACACACGACCAUCCUCAACGCUCCAAGCUCGUCCUCCUCCGGCGCAGUGGCUCGGCCUCAUAUCCUCUAAGCUUCACGGCUUUGUAAGUCACGGCGCCAGCUAUGGCUCCGAGCGGAGGAGCCACCAUGUACAUCCACAAUCCUUUGUAGUUCCCUGCGGCCACGGCCGGGCCGAGAGUCCUCACGGGGUUCAGGGAACCUCCGGUCGGCAUCCUGCAUUUCCCGGGAACAUUGUUAAGGAACAUUAUGAAAGCUAAAAUUCUGUAACAACGCGUCCAUACUUGCACGCCCGAAGGUGAGUAGUUUCAGUACAAUGCUUACCCUGUCACAAGAACGCCAAGCAGCACCGUUGCUCCGAUUGCAAUACCUGCCAAAUCUCCUACCUAUCAUCAGAAAAAAGGAACAAAUGUAAGUGAAAUGGAUACAUGCUGUAUACAGAUGCCACGAGUACAGAUAGAGGAAGAGUCGAUAUGCAGCAUGGCGACGUACUGCACGAGUGUCGGUCACCACCGCGACGAUCACGAACGCGAGAAUGAAAGUGGCGAGAAACUCGAGAGCAAACGCCUGUCCGAUGUCCACCGAAGGCACCGUGACGCCGCCGUUGGCAAAGGGAUGGAAAACGCCCUUGAGGACGUAGGAAGCACACAUCGAGCCCGCAACCUGCGCCGCGAUGUAGCCAGGCACCUGGAUCCAUGGAAAGUGCCAGAUCACCGCGAGGGCGACUGUCACCGACGGGUUCAGGUGGGCUCCUGAAAUGUGACCGAUCGAGAAAACUAUGAUCAUCACGGCGAGCCCAGCGCAUGCCGCGUUCCCAAGCAACGUCUCUGCUCCGUUGUACUUUUGGUUCACAAUGGGCCCGCCCACCGCGCAAAGUACUAAGAAGAAGGUUCCAACGAACUCUGCUCCGACCUGCAUCGUUCAUGUAAAUCUAAAUAAGAAAAUCUAUCCUAUCUUUCUUUCUUGGUUUCACUCGCUAUGAAAAGGCAUAAGAAUUAUCAGUUUAUGCUGCAACAGCUAGCGAGCCUGUCUAAUCUUUACUGAUCUUUGAGGUCGAUUGGGCUUUACCUUCCGCAACGAAUCAUACUUAUCCGGCUGGAGACGCCGAACACCUUCCGUUGCACCGUCACUCGGCGCACACCACUUGCACUGUACCACGGACCCGUCCUCCGGCAACGAUGAGUCCACUUGCAACGUCACAGAUGCCGGUUGGCACAUCUUCUCUUGCCUGGACAGCUCGAUGGAGAUUAAGGGAGACCAGAGGUCGCGAAUAAAGGAUCAAGAGAUCGAUGAGAAGAGAGAUCAAGACGAGAGGGAGCCUUCAGUCUGUUGCCUCCGUCUAUGAUAGUUGAUUGCAGCGACCCCAAAAGCAUUUUAUAGGAGAGAAGACAACGGCUUUAACAUCGCCAACAUCAUCUUCUUGUUCACUAGUUCGGCUUGUUGACUCGCUCCAUAGGAUUCGGUCAUUCAUAGUAGUUCGGACUGUCUGCACCUUGACUAGAUCUAGGGUUACUCUAUACAAGUAAUGAUUUGACUCGGUUUGGCAUGCUCAGAAAAACUUGGAGGGCACGUUUCUAUUUCUGAAAUUUAGGUGUGCAAGUCUACAUUUGUGGACCAGAUAUUGAAUAUUUAAGACCGAUUCUAUAAAGAGAAGAUCCAUCAAAACGUAUUUUCUUUUUUUUGUUUGGGGGGGAAGAGUUAAGGGCUGCGUUUGUUUUGAUUUCUUUUUUCUGUUUUUAAACAAUUUUUUUUGUUUUUUUGUUCCUGGGAACAAAAAAGGAACAGAAACGCGUUUGUUUGCAUUUUUAUUCCAAAAUUAUUUUUUUGUUCCCAGAAACACAUCUGGAACAAAAACAAGAAACAAAAAAAAAAGUUGUUUCUUGUUUCUGGAACAAAAUUUAGGAACACUUUCUUCUUCUCUCUUUUUUCUUCUUCUUUUCUUCUUCUUUUUUCUUUCUUUUUUCUUUGGCCGGUCGCCGGCCUCAACAAUUGAACCUUCUCAAACUGUUUCUUCUUAAGAACCAAAAAUAUUUGUGCCAAAAUAACAGAUGCCAAGAAGAACAAAAGGCCUUGGACACGGAAUGGAUCUUGAAGUACUAUUUCCGCAUCUCCUUGACCAAAUCCACCCACAUUAGGAUUACUCGUUAAUGGCUGAUCAAGUUUGAUAGAUUCGCCUUCGGAAACAAGAAGUUCUGGCCCUGGUGGAAUAAUAUCAACCACUUGACGUUCAUCUGACGCAUCCGAUAUGGUUAUUUCGUACCCCCCUUUUUCUUUUCGUAUGAUUUUACUUACUACACCAGCCGCUGUAGCAUUAUAAACUGUAUUGUUACUCUUGCUCCCAUCGGGAUAAAUCUGACCCAUUCCUCUGUUCCCGCCUACAUAUAUGGGAUAUUUUAAGAAGUGAACAUCUUUAUUAGUAGCGGGGUCCGGGGAAAGAAUAGGAAAGGUGACUUCACUAUAUUUCUGACCAGAAACAGGACCUAUCACAAGAAUAUUUUUUUUAUUGGGGCGAUAGCUCUGAAAAGACAGAUUGCCUAUCUUUUCUUUCAUCUCGGGCGAAAUACGAUCGGGAGGUGCUAAUUCAAAUCCCUCAGGUAAAAUAAGAACAGCCCCCACAUUCAAACCUCCCAUUUUACCAUUAGCAAGAACUUGUUUAACUUGCAUAUCAUAAGGAAUUCGAACAACUGCUUCAAAUACAGUAUCAGGAAGUACCGCUUGCGGAACCUCAAUAUCCACGGGCUUAUUAGCUAAAUGGCAAUUGGCACAUACAAUACGUCCGGUCGCUUCUCGUGGAUUUUCAUAACCCUGUUGUGCAAAAAUGGGAUAUGCAUUUGAAAUGGAUGUCCGAGCUAUGAUAUAUAUCAUCAGCGAUACGGAAAUAGAUCGAAUAAUCUCUUUCUUUAUCCAAGAAAAGGUGUUUUUAGUUUGCAUGGUCCAAUCAUUGAUCCCGAAAAUUUCUACAAUAAAAUUAGGUAGGUCGCUUGUAUAGUUCCCUAUCCACAAUUCUGCUAUUUACUUUAUUGAAAUCAUUUUACUGGAAUAUAAGGAGUAGGAGAAAUCCCUGUAGGGUAGAAAGAGUAAGUACGUCUUAAAAUGGAAAUGCUUUGCUUAUGUACCUUAUGUUACAAAGUAACAAAUAUUCUAGUUAGAUCAGUCAUUCAUUGAAUGAUAAAUCACUACAAGUGAUGGAGAUAUACGAUUUAAAUAGCGGAAGAUCCAAUAUUUAAAAAUUGUAUCCAGAAUGACUGGAAAAGUAGAAACAAGACCCGAUAUAAUUUGAUCGUUGUGAGCAAAUCCAAAAUCUUUGUAGACAUAGCCAAUCAUUAGUUCCCAACCAUGGGGCGAAUGGAAUCCGAUACAUAAAUCAGUUAAUAAAAGAAUAGAAAAAGCUUUUAUUGUGUCACUUAAGUUAUAUAGGAAUUCUUGAACCCAAGAGUUAAGAAUAGCAAGUUCUUCAUUACCCAGAAUAGAAUAACCACUUAAAAUAAUGAAAGAGGUUAUAUUUGUCGAUAAGUGAAAAAUCAUAUGGAUAUGAUCCUCAUUGUGCAUCUUGAUCAAUUGGAUCGUUUCUUUGUGGAUUCCUAUACGAAGUGUUUGUAGAUGUGUUUCCGGGUAUUCUUUUAUCAUUUCGUCCAAGAGUAAGAGUUCUUCCAAUUCGAUGAAUUUUUCUAGAAUACUCUUUUCUUGAAUAUCAGUCAAAAAAGUUUCGGAUUGCCUAGUAUUCCACCAAUUAGUAAUCCAAAAUUCAAGACUUUUAUUAAAUGAGAGAGAGAUCCACCAGGGCAAAAAUACUAUAGAUGUAAGAUAUAGAAGAGGAAGAAAUGCUUUCUUUUUUACCAUUUUUUCAUCUUUGAAUUGUUAAUGAAUCCACCUCAUUUGUUGAAUCUAUGUGAUCUACUAUUUCUAUUAACCCUAAGUUCUAUUACAGGGCAUCGGGCCUCGGCCAUGGCCGGCGACCGGCAGUCGAGGGCCGGUGAGGCCGAGCGUCGCCGGCCCUUGGUGAGGCCGACCUCGCGCCGAGCUAGGCGAGCUCGGCCUCGCCGGGCCACUGCCAGGUCGGCAUCGCCUGGCAGUGGCCCGGCGACGCCGAGCCUCGCCAGCCACUGAUUGUCACUUGCUUUUAGUCAUGCAUUCAAAACUGUAAGAUUCAUGCACUAUAAGAUAACCAGACAAGCGAAAAAAUGAUGUGCAUUUCAGUUGAGGUGGCAAGACCAAUUAGAUUGAAUUCAAACCAAAUAAAGCUUGACGCAUAAAAGAGAAAUGUUGUGCAUUGAGCGAAUAUAUGACAAAAUAAGUGCAAAGAGAGUCAUUGAUGUUCUAGCACUUUGGCCAAUUGAGUUCUUAAAAUUUUACUUUGCUUAAUUGAAUCCUUAGCAUUUUCAAUUUUAAUCAAUUGAGUCCCUCAAGCUUGAUCCUCGGAAAUAGCCACAUGGCUAUGAUUUUCCAAGUUGAUAAGAAGAUGCUCGACAAUAAAACCAGGUGAGCCUCUCAAGGGCUUCAUUGGCAUAAUCAUCAGUAUCACUUCGAUUUUUGGGUAUACGUGCUACACCGCACAGAGGUCUAUCAUUUCUUGGAUAUACUUCAUACCUCCCGUAGUGCUACCCGAAACGGUUUUCAUACCUGCAAAAAGUUCAUUGUGAGCAACUUACUUUCUUCACCUAUCAGGUAUCAAUAUUUCAUUCAGUAAUGAGCUUUGAGAACAAAAACAUACCGAGGUUAAGGCUUGCUGCAUUGAAUUUAAUUUCGCUUUGGGACCCAACCGAUGCUAGAACGCCACCCGUCUUCAAAAGAGACAUGUAAGGAUCAAAUGGGUGAUCAGCAGAUACCGUGUCAAUUAUAAAGUCCAGGGACUUAGCCAUGGCUUGCAUGUUACGAUUCAUCAGAUCACGGCAGCACUUGACAUCCAUGGAUCUAAAGUAUUAAUAAUUCAAAAUCUUCCCGUUUACCUUCAUAUGUUCUUGGUCAGAUGAGAUAACGAAAUGGUCAGCACCAAGCAAGCUCAGUGCUUCCUCCUUUUUAGAAAUGCUUGUACUGAACACGGCAACUUUCAGUCCAAAAGCCUUCCCAAGCUUAAUUGCCAUCUGACCGAGCCCACCAAGUCCAAUUACGUCGAAAGACUUACCCGGUUGGUUCAUCUUGUGACGCACCAUUUGAAUGUAUACUGUGAUUCCAUCACAGGGCAAUGGUGCUGCUAAAGCCAACGGGUAGUUUUCUGGAAUCCUAAGGCAAUACCUGUCAAUGAAGCACCACAAUUAAGUUUCCAAAUCAUGUAAUUUUUCUAUUCCCCUCGAUCAUGUCUCUAAGGGACACGAUAUUCCUGUGACUGUUGGAUACAAGAAUCCGUGAAAGCAUAUACAUUUCAUUACCCAUUUGAUCUAACACUUACUAUCUAACUCUUGGGAACAAUCUAAAAAAAGGGAGGAAGCGGAGACAAAAGGCAAGGAUUGAGCAAUUUCCAUCUCUCUCUCUCUCUCUCUCUCUCUCUCUUUUAAUUAAGGGUUAAUAUCCUAAAAAAUCCCAAAUUGGUACACAUGUAACAAAUUUACCUUGACAGACUAUAAAAAACUCUAAACUUAUAUAUUUAUGACAAAUUUACCCCAAACUAAUUUAUUUGACCGCAAAAAAUCUCAAAAUGGUAAAUUUGUAACAAAUAUACCCUUCACUAAAUUGGAUUAAUACCACAAAAAGAUCACAAAAAUUGUAAACCGUGACAAACGGAGCAUGAAAUCUCAAAUUGGUAUUACUAAUCAACUGUCACGUGCCAUUUAACUUAAUAAUUUGACAGUAAAAUUUAAUGAAAACUAAUAGAGGGUAAAUUUGUCACAAGUGUACUAGUUUAGAGUAUAUUUGUCAAAAGUAUACCAGUUUGGAGUUUUUAGUGGUCAAAAAACUAGUUUAGAGUAAAUUUAUCAUAGGUGUACCAGUUUUGAGUUUUUUAGGGUAUUAACCCUUUAAUUAAUUUAGUUUUAAAUUUAAUGUUAUUAAUGUUUCAUGAAAAUUCAUAUGUUAGAUUUAUUGGCUCACAUGUCAUUGUCACUUGAUGUGUAUGAUAUAUAGAAUAGUCCAAGAGUUUUGACUUUAGAUGCUUGGGAACUCGCGAAUGGUCAUACAUUGUCGGUUACACAUUCAAUAUGAUGUAUUAGCUAAUCAUAGUCCUCUAACGGUUUAUAUUUGCUUAAUAUAUUUCAAGAAUAUUCAUUUGUUAGACUUGUCCGCUCACACGCCACUGUCACUCGAUGUAUAUGAUAUGCAGAAUAGUCUAAGAGCUUUGACUUUAGACACUUGGGAGUGUCUAUGCUUGUUUUAUGUCUGUUAUGCUUGCAAUGCUUCUGGUUUUGAGUGGACAGUACAAAUAUUUAAGUCCAUGUCAAUUUGAACAAUUUUCUUUAUUAUAGAGCAACCGUCUUUAAUCUAUUGUGUUCUUGACCACAAAAAACCAAAUAACAAAUAAGUAUUAAUUAUUGUAGGGUCCAACAACAAUCUUUAAUCUAUUGUGUUCUUGACCACAAAAAACCAAUUAACAAAUAAGUAUAAAUUAUUGUAGGGUCCAACAGCAAUCUUUAAUCUAUUGUAUUCUUGACAACAAAAAACUAAAUAAUAAAUAAGUAUACAUUAUUAUAUGGCCCACUCCUUUAAAAAUUUGUUGCUCACAACAACUUAUUUAUUCUCAUAAUAACCCAAAGUUAUGCUAGCAAAGCUCUUUUGAGUAAGUGUAUUGAAAGUUUUAAAAACUUGUCACUAAAGUGCAUUAAGUCCUGAAACUUUCAAAAAAUACAAUUUAAUCCUAAAAUUUGUCACGAAAUGCAAUUGAGUCUUAAAAUUUUCAAAAAGUAAAAUCAAUUAUAAAGAUUUAUCAAUAUUAUAAGGGACAAAACCAAAAGCUGCAUGCAAUAAAUCAGACAAAAUUCAUUAAUUUAUGACCAUCAAGCAAGCGUCAGACAUUAGCAAAUGAAUGUAUUAGCAAUCGAAAAUACAUCGAAAACAAAAAGUUAAAAGCUCAUAUCUACCUUUCAUUCUUAUGCUUUGUAAGCCCCUCUGACCUUAGUGACCGCAAGGAUUUUACUGUGGACUCAAUGAGAUCCAUCUCAAGCUCCACCCUUUCAUGUGUCCAGCACUGAAGCAAAAGGAAAAUCGCAAUAAUGCGAUGAGGAUGAAACUAACCCAUUGAAUUUCUGAGUAAUCCAUCAAGUACAAGUUACCCAUCAUUCGGCCACUAAGCUCCUCCACUAUGGCCCUCAAUUGCUGGAUGCUUACUACGAGCGCUUCAUCCCUUCGUAUGAAGUCAACAUUUCUUUGAUUCACACUUUCUUUGCAUGACAUAUUUUAAACCUACAAGUAAACGUUAGUCACAAAAAUCCUCACCAAUUGCUCCCUCACGUGUUUCUCUCAAUGUGUUUGUCACUCCCCUCGUGUUUAACUCAAAUUUAGGCUUUUUCCCUCUCGUAUUCUCUUUUCACAAGUUCUUUAUUGGACUCAAAAUCAGUCUCUCAGCCCCCUCACGACAAUCAAUCAAAAUAAUCAAACAAGAUUAGAUUACUAUUAAUUUUGUUUCAGCAAGUAACAAUUUCAAACCAACAAGUAUAACUUUCGAAAUUCUAAUUGAAACGCAAAUCACUACUGAUUUUGUUUCAAUUCGGUCCACAGUCGCCUUCUUGAUUUUUUUUUGUUCAGCUUUUUUUUUCUGCUGAAUCUUUUUUUUUUCUCUAGCGCACUUUUUUUUUGUGUGCGUUUUCUUUCUCUUCUUUUUUUUUUUUUACGAACUUUCUUUGUUUUUUUUUCUUUCUUUUUUGACAAACUCAGAUACAAUUUAAGAUGAUAGGAAAAAAAAUAUUAAAACUAACAGCAAACAAUUACGUAUGGAAGCACAAAAGUAAUCAGAUCCCUAAAUUGGCUAGAACCGAAACCCUAACUCAAUAAAUCUCAAAUUGCUGAAUAUAAACAGAAAAUUAAAGAUAAAUAGACAUUGUAGAAGUAAGCUCUGAUACCAAAUGAUGUCAAUCGUUGUGGAAAAAUCAUUCUACGAAGGCCUGGAUGGUGCGAAUUGCAAACCUCGACCUCCAAUCAAACCUGUGAUUGAUAACCUCGAUAUGAACGUGAUCAAACCUACGAUUGAGAACCUCGGUAUGAACGUGACCUAUUGACAAACGCAUGUCAACCAACCAAACCCACGAGCGAAAGAAUAAGGUUAAGUUCUCAAAAAAUAGUAGAAAAGAAUCUCUCAACUUUUUUCAUCCAUAUAUAUAUAUAUAUAUAUAUAUAUAUAUAUAUAUUGACUUGGUCAAAUAUUUGAUGAUCAGAUAAUCAAAUUGUGCAAAGAUUUCUAAGAUUCUUCAAGAUUUAAUCCAAAGCCAUCUCUACGCCGAAGAUCAUGAACCAUGACGCUAACAGCUUACUUGAAUUGCUUGGCUCGUGCUCGAGUAAUUGAACCAGUAGGAAUAGACAAUGGGUCUCUAGCACCACCUCAUCGAUAUGGCUUGAUGUCCACAUCAUAAUGCAUGCGAAGGAACAAGCCGAUUGCCACUUGAUGUUAGUCAUUCAUGCAAAACUGUAAGAUUCAUACGCUAUAAUAUAGCCAAACAAGCAACCAAAAAAAAAAAAUAAAAAAUAAAAAACUAAAAAAAUGAUCUGCGUUGCACUUGAGGUGGCAAGGGCAAUUAGAUUGUAUUGAAACUAAAUGAAGUCCGUUGCAUUAAAAAGACAAUCAAAUGAUGCAUUGAUCAAACCUUCUCUUCCUUCUUCUUUUUCCUCUCCAGGUCUUCCACGCCUUCCGACUUGUUAUCCGGUUGAGACUGCACGACCCACAUCGACUCAUCAAUCUGAUCAUUACAAUCAUAGACUUGCCAUUUCCACAGCUAACCCAAUAACUCAAGCUACAAUCAGACGAGCUUCCACCCAAGAAAACAUACCAUUUCGAUGGUUGGUAAGCGUGAGACUGCAACCAAAGUUCGAUUCCGACAAGAGAAAGCACCGGGACAGAUGGUUGAGCUCCGUUUAGAAGUAGACCCAACAGCCGCCGGCGAACAAGGGUGGCGACCGUGACUUCAAAGAGACGACUUGACGGCGACCGAGCUCGGCGGAGGCGAGGGCGGCGGGACUUGUCAGCAGGGAUUUUUCUGACAGUGUCAGACUGGCACGACUCUGACGUUUUUUUAAUUAACUAAAGAAAGAAAUUCGUAAUACGACGUGGGCAGCCCGCAGGAGGGCGAAAUAAGAGUUUCCUGUUCUUAUUUUAUUUUAUUUUUAGCCUUUUCUGCUUAUUAGCAAAUAAAAUUUAUUAAUUUGACACGAACAUAUAGUGGUGUAUUUCCUACUAGUAAUAUAAAUUUAUAGAUUUUAAGGGAAGACUUGGAUCGUAAUUGUCAUUGGAGAGGAAGUGAAUGAUGAUAUAACAUGAGUUAAUAGACGUAAGUGAAAAAUGUCACAAAAGAAAUCGUGUUCCGAUAUUAAUUUUGUCAAUAUAUUGAAAAGGCAACAGGUUUCGUAUUCUUCUGGACAGAAAUGAAAGGUCAAAGGGAAACGAGAAGGACUGAGCAAAUAAAUGACAAAAUAUGAGCAAUGGAAGUCAUUGAUCGUUUGCCGUUUGACUGAUUGGAUUCUAAAUAUUUUAUUUUCAAUUGGGGUCUAAAUAUUUAUUUGGUCCAAUUGACUUCUAAACAUUUCCAAUUUUAGUCAAUCACGUCCCUCGAAUAUUAUUGUCGGAAAGAGCCACAUGGCUGUGAUUUUCCAAGUGGCCAAGGAGAUGCUUGAGGAGAAAACCUGUAGGAGAGGCGAAGCCAUUCAAGCAGAACUCUCAAGAAGCCAAUUUUUCAGACAGUUUCUCAAUCAUCACAUAGAAAAGUACCAGGAUUUCAUUACCCAUUUCACUUAUUUCUGCUAUAAAACUUACGGGUAUCGAAGUAUAUCAGGCAUAGUUUAUUUGUACUCCAGCAGAGAUAGUAAAAAGGCACAGAUGAUGCUCUCCUCUAGCUGAAACUCCCACUUUUCCUCUCUGUGUGAUCAGCUUUGCCAGCAACAAUUUCCAACUUCCCAAAUUGAUGUUCAAAUUUAAUCAAAUAGACUCAGAGAAGAAAACACACGAGAAUUGUUGCUAUAACUCUUGUUACUUUAUUCAUCAAAACAUCCAAAUCACUUAGCAAGAAAAUAGCUAUAGAACAACAACAACAACAAAGACCCACUGACAUACCCCACCGACCAAACAUGUGGAGAAACUAACUCCUACAAAAAAGCCACUUCCUAUUGACUAGGACUCCACUAUUACAUUAUUGAAGACACGUAAAAACUGUAAGUUAACUACUUCAACAAUUGAUGGUGUCACUUCAAGGAGUUCUCAAUGUCGAUCACGAAUCGAUACUUAACAUCUCUCUUGAUGAGCCUCUCCAGAGCUUCAUUGGCAUAAUCAAUCGGUAUCACUUCAAUAUUUGGGUAUAUCUUCUGCGCUGCACAUAGGUCUAUCAUUUCUUGGGUAUCCUUUGUUCCUCCCGUUAGGCUACCUGAAACAGUUCUCAUAUCUGCCAAACGUUCACCACGAGCAACUUAGUUCACCUAUCAGGUAUGAAAUUUCAUUUAGUAAUCAGAUUUGAGAACAAAAACAUACGGUGGUUAAGGCUGGCUGGACUAAAUUUAACUUCGCUCGAGCCGACCAAUGCUAGAAUGCCACCCGUCUUCAAAACAGACAUGUAAGGAUCAAAUGGGUGAUUGCCGGCUGCCGUGUCGAUUAUAAAGUCUAGGGACUUAGCAAUGGCCUGCGUGCAUUGGAUUUAUCAGAUCACAACAGAAUUUGACCACCAUGGAUCUCAAUGUGGAUAAUUCUAGUUUUUCCUUUUUUUACCUUCAUCUGCUCUACGUCAGAUGAGAUAACGAAAUGGUCAGCCCCAAGCAGGCUCAGUGCUUCCUCCUUUUUAGAAAUGCUUGUACUGAACACUGUGACUUUUAGUCCAAAAGCCUUCCCAAACUUAACUGCCAUAUGACCGAGCCCGCCAAGUCCAAUUACACCUAGAGACUUACCGGGUUGGUUCAUCUUGUGACGUAUCAUUGGAGUGUACACCGUGAUUCCAGCACAGAGCAGUGGCGCUGCUAGAUCCAUCGGGUAGUUUUCUGGAAUCCUGAAGCAAUACCUGUCAAUGAAGCACCACAAUUAAGUUUCCAAAUAACACCAAGAGAGGAAGUGAUUUCCCAAUAGAAUCAGCAUCCUGUCUUUUUUGUCUAAAAGGAAUCAAAUCACAGAGCCAGAAAUCCUAUCUUCCGCAUGCUUGGGAAUGUUACUUGCUUAGACCACAAUUCAGCAUCAUGUUGUUUCCGUGAUCCUUGUUCUGACCACAAAUUGCUCAAGACAAACAUUUCUUGCUGUAGCAACGAAAAUAACUCGAUUAAAAUUAAGAAAAGACACUUGCUCUAAGAAAGGAAACUGGUGGCAUAUCACAUAUGCUUGACUGAACACGUAAUUUCUCUAUUUCUUUCAAUCAAUUCCUCCGAAGGACUCAAGAUUCCUGUGGCUCUAUCAGAUACAAGAAUUAGUGAAAGCACAUACAUUUAGCUACCCAUUUGAUCUUAUACUUAUGAUCUAACUUUAACAAUCUAAGGACAGCUUAUUCCAUUCUUGACAAUGGUUAUUGAAAAGAAAGAAUUUCUUUUUGCAUUUAAUAAAGCCAAUUCUCCAUUGAAUGGUCUGAAUGGUAAUUGGAUACAGAGGACUUAAAGACCCUCCAGAGCCGUUAUAGAAAGUAUCUUUAUCCUUUUCCACAAGAUGCAUUAUGCUACUUCUGGUCACAAUCAGAAUACGAAGAAAAUUAGCAGAGAAGAAGACAUGACAUGAAAUCUUUUUUUGGCCACCAUGAUUUGAAAUUCUUUCACAGUGCAAAAUGCUGCCUAAUAACAUUGUGUUAAUAAGCAAUUACCUUUCAUGGACGACAAUGUGACUAGAAUAUCCUCCCUUUGUCACUGUACCGUCCGUAUCGAUUCGGUCAAAAGUCAAAACCAUCUUUUCACAAUGGACUUCUAGCCCGUCAUUGCAAUACUCGCACUCUCUGCAUGAAUUGACAUAAGUUCCCACACCCACAUGAUCGCCAACUUUGAAGCGUUGGACACUGGAGCCAACCUGUUUCACAAUUCCAACUAUCUCGUGCCUGAAUCAAUCAAAAAAGUCAUUCGCAAAUUUUGUUCAGAGAAUUAUUAGGAUGGUGCUAAGAAAAAAGAUUAACAUUCGAAUCACGCUGCAUCCUACCCUGGCACCAGAGGAUACUUGGAGGUUCCCGACAUAUUCCUAGUCCAAGCCACAUCUGCAUAGCACACUCCGCAGUGCGUGAUCCUAAUCGAGACGUCAUCGCUUCCCACGGUCCUAAAGAGAGAAUUCCCAAACAGAUGAGCAUCUAAUCAAGCAACUAAUCAGACUCAGUUACCUUUUGUUCUCAUUUUUCAGAUCAAUAAACUAAGCGUGACUUACAAUAAUCAUACAUUCAACCCAAAAAAAAAUUUAAGAAAAGAGAAAUGAAAAGGAACCAAAUCCAUGACUAUAGGCAUUUGUCUGAAUAGUACAUACAACCUCAAAUGCUCACAAAGGCAGCACCCGAAUCCUAAUGUCUGCCAUGAAGUUCUAAGCAACUCAUUCUGGGACAUGACAUAUCAUGCGUACAAACAAUUCUCUACCCAGAAAUUAGUGCAUACACAACAAAAUUUAUAAAAGAAAAACGAAAUGGUUUGGUCAAUGUGGAAAUUUAAAUAUAUGACAAGCAUCAAAAACUGUUUUGCAUUACAGGUGAGAGGAUAAGACCUGAGAACACUGUAUUGAGACUUAUUCAGACAAAUACUUCAAUAGAAAUUGAAAGUAUAAGGAGCAGAUGAAUUAAAUAAAGAACAGUGGUAACAGUAAUACCUGCGGCUGAAUUUGUAGGGGGAGAGACGUCCAGAAGGAUCUCUGGCAGCCCAACCAAGACAAUCUUCCUUCGCACCCUCUGAACUCAUCGUUCCUCACCGACCUCAACUGAAAUCGACCCACAAAAAAAUUGCUGUGUUAAUCUCUCAAUAAGCUGAAUUAUGGAAGAAGAAGAAGAAUUAUUUUCGUGAAAGAGAAAUGAAGAGAAAAUCAAACCGGAAAACAGAAGUUCAAAUGGUCAAAAGGCCAAAUGUCACGAAGACUUGGCAAUUCCGUUUCCGUGCAGACAAGAUUUUGCGGUCUGACUUUUGAGCAAAGAGCGAGAUUAGCAGAGAGCGAGGUUGAGCGCUCAAAAACCGUCACCUCUUUAUAGAUGCCAUAGCGUCGCCUGUUCUUGAUUUUUUUUUUCGUUUUAUCUUGUGGAAAAGAAUUAGUGCCAAACGUAAGCCAUUACCCUUCACUAGCCAAUGAAGUAUGCAGUGACGUCUUCUGGAGUACGGUUCUUGGUAUUUUUAUUUAUCCUCCCAAUAACAAUUGCAUUAUUAAUUUAUUCACACAUUAAAUAUGUCAAUAGGCAACAUGUUGACGCAUAAAAUAUGUCAUGAUCCUCUAGUGGUAUGUAUUCGAUUCAUCUAUUUUAAGAAUAUUCACCUUCAUCUAUUUUAAGAAUAUUCACCUUCUUCAAAGAUAGUGUUAGUAUAUGCGGAAACAUGUGUUUGAUAUGUAUGCAAGCAAAAGAACUAAGGGACAAUGUGAGCAAGAAAUAGUGGGACAAAGUAAUAAUAGGAAUGUGUAAAAGAGAAUGAGGCUGAGGCGGUGAAGGAGAGAAACUUGAAUGGAAGUCAACAAUAGUGGCUGAAGAAGAAACUAGUAUGUGGACAGCAAGAGUACUUGGAGAAGAAGAAAAUGAGUUGUCAGCUGUACUAUGGCCUAUGGCGGUGAAAAAGUCAAAAAUGUCAUGCUUGAAGUCGGUUGUAAUUGCCUAUAAAUAGGCUUGUCGUUCAUUUAUUUGGUGUGUGUGAGGUGAACCCUUCACCUUGUGUGGGGGUGAACCCUCCACUGUGAGAGGUCUUAAACCUCCGCUAGGACCAUAUGGAGAGUGACUAUUCAACACCUCCAUCAAAUUAUUUUGUCUUCUUCAAUAAGUUCUUGACAGCUGGAGUUUGAUGAAGAAACUUUGCUUCAUGCUUUCCGCUACUUGCUAUUUCCGAUGCACGUAGACUUCUCUAGCCUAUUCUAGGAUUUCUUCUUCAACUUGGGGUUUGCUUGCUUGUAUUCCCAUGUGAAUCUUCUAGGUUCAGCUAGCAACCACCAUUCUCAACAAUUCUAGACAAUCUUCAACAUGGAUGUUGCUACCAACGUUCUCGCCUUCAUGAUUAAGUUAAUAGUUUCUAAACAGUUUUAGAGAAAAUGGAUCAUAAUUUUCAACAUAUAGUAUUUUGGAGAGAAAAGUAUUUCAGCAGAAUUGUUCAAGGAUUUACAGAUCACUACAAUAUCACCGGAAGCAAAUAAUUAUCCAUCAUUGACAUGAACGAUAUAGCAAAAAUUCUUUUACUUGUUUACCUUAAGUUUAGCAAGAUCUGCUUAAACGACAACCUUGAGUAUCUUCAAUUCCCUUUCUCUUGCCUUCAAAAAGAUAUUGAAAUGCAACGCAGAAUCAAGACAGAUUGUCAUUAACAAAGCUGUAAAAGCCUACUCAAUCUGGCAAAAUUGGGGACAGUGUUUUCCAGCGAUCUUGACUACCUCGGUAGCUGCUGUGCAAAUGGAUAGGAAUGCAUGCAGAGGGACAAGCUGAUUGUUACCUACUUUUAGUCAUUCAUUUGAAACUGUAAGAUUCAUGUGCCAUAAGAUAGCCAAACAAGCGGGCAAAAAAUGAUGUGCCUUGCACCGAAGGUGGCAAGAGCAAUUAGAUUAAAUUCAAACCAAAAAAAGCUUGAUGCAUAAAAUGAAAAGUCAUCCAUUGAGCAAAAAAGGGUGCGUUUGGUAAGGUUUCUGUUUAAAAAUUGUUUCUGGGAACAUAAAUAAAAAAAAGUGUUUCUGUUCCAAGGAACAAGUUUUGAACAAAAAAACGCAUUUGGUAAAUCUGUUCUAGAAAUAUAAAAAAAAUAGAAACACGUUUGGUAAGUUUGUAUAUUUUUUUUUAUUUCUUUUAAUUUUUAAUAUUUUUAUUUUUAUUUUCUAUUUUCUUUCUUAUUUUUCUUAUUUAUUUUUCCUUUUUUUCUUAUUUAUUUUUCCUUUUUCCUUUUUUCUUCUUUUGGCCGGUCGCCGGCCUCGGCCAUGGCCGACGACCAGCCGACAAGGGCCGGCGGCCUCACCCAGCCAUGGCGAGGCUCGCCGGCCGCUGGGCGAGCUCGGCCUCGCUAGAUCUGGGCGAGAUCGAGCUCGCCCAGCCAGGCGCGAGGUCGGCCUCGCCGCGCUGUGCCGACGGUGACCCAGAGCCACACCAUCGUCUCCCUCCACCGCAUCGGUGACCGCGCUCGACGCCUCCUCGCCGCCACCGGAUCGGCGACCACCCCUCCGCCUCACGCCCGAUUGACGCAUCUGCAGGUCUCGAGCCUUCGUUCACCACCGCCACAUCAGAUCUCACCACGCCGUGACCCACGGCUUCGAGAUCCGCUCGAUCGUCGACCCCGCGCCGGCCCACGACUCGACCGGCCGUCCUCGCCGCUCCGCUCCUAGACGUCCGCCGCUCGAGACCCCACGGCCGAGCCCCGCACCGCAGCCGCCGCCGCCGCCCAGCGACCCGCGACCCAGCUCCGUCACCCGCUCACAGGUGGAGAUGCUCGCAGCGGCUGUCGGCGCCGGAGAGGACGACGGUGGAGAAGCCGGAUGGUCUCGAGACAGAGGCGGCUGUCGGCGCCGGAGAAGACGACGGUGGAGACACUUGCAGAAGGAGAGGCUCGCAGGAGAACACGAUUUUGUUUCUUUUUUGUUCUUCAAAUAUGUUUCAGAAAUAAGAAAUAAGAAAUUCUUGUUUCUUAUUUUUGUUUGUUUCUUAUUUUUGUUCCCUUUUUGUUUCUAGGAACAAAAAAACAAAAAAGAAACAGAAAUGCACCCAAACGCGUUUCUGUUCCUUUUUUGUUCCCAGAAACAAAAAAAUAGAAAUUUUUGUUCGUGGGAACAGAAACACGGUGCAAACAAACGCGCCCUAAAUGACAAAGUAAGUGCAAUGAGAGUCAUUGAUGUUCACGCCAAACGUAUGCCAUGACCAUUCCUUAGCCGAGAGAAUGUAAGCAGCGACAUCUUCUAGAUAGUGGUUACUGGCAAUUUUUUUUUUUUUUAUCCCCGGCCUGAUCAAAUUAUCCGAGUUAUAAACUCAGAAAGAAGUUAAUGAGCAAUCUACCGCUAGGACCUAUGAAGGGUCAUAUGUUGUUGGUUACACAUCGUGUUGGAAUAUAAUAUACGGAAAUGAAAAGAUCUUGCAAUUUACGUCAACGUGCAAACUCCAGAAAAAUAAAUGAGAAAUAAUAAGAACACCAUAACUUUACGUGAUUCGGUCCGAGUAUUAGUACCUACAUUCACGGGAGAGUUAGCAACAAAUAACCCACUAUAAUAAAAAAAUCAGAGUUUACAAUCGCUCACAUGCUUGAGUAUUUUCUACACCUAGAUUUCAACUCAAGAGUUUAUAAAUAAACAACUCAUUUUAACAUAAAUUCACGACAUAAAAUUACCACUCGUUCAAAAACAAAAUGCUCUACGUACGCCAAAAACAAGAAUUCCAGCAUUUAUCUUUUGGUUCGCGUAGAUACGGAUUUGUGUUCUUCUUUGCUUGAUCGUGCGGCGCUAUUCUAGACGUUCCUUUUGGCUCUUUCUUCUUCGUAGGGCUUCAGUAACUUUUUCUAUAAAAAAAAAAAAGGACGUUCUAUUUUAUAUAUGUGCCUAGAGUCAACAACUUUGACUCUGGGCCCACCAUGUGCUUCUUUCUUCAGUGGGAAGUGGGACGCUGCAGGUAAGGCGAAGAAACCUUCCUUUUAUUCAUUUUUCUUCAUAUUUCCUUUAUUUUAUGGGAUAUGUUUGGCAGAAGUCCUAAAACUUGUCCAGAAAGUGCAAUUGAGUCCUAAAACUUACAAAAAGUUCAAUCAAGUCCUAAAACUUGUCAAAUUGGUUCAAUUGAGUCCUAAAGUUAACACCGUUAAGAAAAUUAACAGAAAUUGCUGACGUGGCGCUGACGUCAUAUUUUAAAUGAUCUUUUUUAUUUUUCAAAUAGCUUUUUUAAAUUAUUUUUAUUCAAAAUCUUUAAAAAUUAGAUUAAAAACUAAAAAGGAAAAUCUAAAUUUAUUAAAAAAACAAAAUUGUUCAAAAAAAAAAAAAGAAAAAAGGGCGGUGGACUUUCGCCGCUGCCCAUCGCCGAAGGGGCCGGCGAUCGUCGCCGGCCCUGGGCGGGGGCGAUGGUCGCCAUCCCUUGCCUGGGGCCGAGCAACCGUCGCCCGCCUUGGGCGAGGCCUCGUCGGCCCUCGCUUGGGGUCGGCGAGGCUCGCUAGAUCUGGGCGAGCCUCGCCCUCGCCAGCCACCCCUGCCCAGGGCCGACAACUGUCGCUCGGCCCCUUCGGCGAUGGGCGGCGGCGGCGGCGGCGGCGGCAGCGGCGGCGGGGAGAAGAGGGCUGCUUUUUUUUAAAACAAUUUUAAAAAUAACUUUUAUAACUUUUCUUUUUAAUUUUUAGAUAAAAUGAAUAAAUUUAAUUUUUUAGUUUUAAUUCUUUUUUUAAAAAUGAAUAAAAAUCAUUAAAAAAAUCCACGUGGAAAAUAAAAAAUAAUUAAAAAUGAUACGUCAGCAUUUUUAACAGAAAAAGCUAACGGUGUUAACUUUAGGACUUAAUUGAACUAACUUGACAAGUUUUAGGACUUGAUUGAACUUUUUGUAAUUUUAGGACUCAAUUGCACUUUUUGGACAAGUUUUAGGACUUCUGCUGAACAUAUCCCUUAUUUUAUAUAUGUUGUGUGCCUAAAGUCAAGACUUUUGACUUUGGGCCCACAUAAAUAACCUUGUUUGGCUCCCGUAGAUAAAGAAGAAACUUUGUUCUUUUUAUUAUUAUUAUAUUUUCUUUCCUCUUUCGUAAACCUUCACAAAGUCCAACAAAGCUUCUUCUAUUGAUCGAAACAAUCAAAGACCCAAAAAGAAUUUCGAAUUUAUUUUCUUGUGCAUAAUCUUGAAUAUUAUCUUUAUCAGAAAAAUAUCUUCACGAUCAAAUAAUAAAAUUUUUAUCCAAGCGGAUCGCAUUUUGCAAAUACUCAAACUCGAGACAUAAUUUAACACAUCCGACAUGAUAUACUGCCCAAUUACUAUCCUCUGACAAUUUAUAUUUGAUUAAUCUAAUUCAAGAAUAUUCAUUUGUUAGACUUGUUGGCUUACACGCCACUGUCACGUGAUAUAUCCUAUAUUGAGAAUACUCAAUGAGCUUUGACUCUAGAUACUUGGGAGCAUCUAUGCUUGUUUUAUGUAUGUUAUGCUUGUGAUGCAUCUUGUUUUGAGUGGACUGUAGAAAUAUUUAAGUUCGUGCCAAUUUGACUAAUUUUUUAUCUGGAUAAGUGCAUUGGAAGAUUUAAAACUUAUCAUAAAAAUACAAUUAAGCCAUGAAACUUUGAAAUCAAGUUCUAGAACUUGUCACAUUGGUCUAAUCUAAAUCCUACCAUUGCAUUUUUGAAAAUUUCGGUACUUAACUGCAAUUUUCUAACAAGUUUUAGUAUUUCCAAUAUACUUUUUUUUUUUCAACCUCAGUAAUGUUUUUAAGCAACAAUGAGCUUGACAUAUCUCUGUUUUCGGAAUUUCAGUGGCUAUAGGAAACAAAAGGACGUCCUCUAAUGAAUCAACAAUCUUCUGCCAUGACAAAGCUGGAAGAGAGAUGAGUGUCUUCCAUAGUUAUAAAAAAUGUUCAUGCAAUAAUCUGUAGGAAUUCGUCUUCCUGACGUGCAUGAACAUUUCCGGCCAUGAAACAUUUCACGGUGAAGACAUUCUGUCACUUAAACCGGCAAAAGGAUAUCGAGCUUGUUCUUUUGGCGAGUGUAUUGCCGUCAAAUAUGCCUGAUUAAUUCCACGACUAUUAGCAUUUGUUUAAAUAGAGCAUACAACCUAAAAUGCUCACAAAGGUAGCUGGUACUGGAUCCUCAUGUCUGCCCAUGAAAUUCUGAGUGCCUCAGACAUGGCAUAUCAGGCACACAAACAAUUCUCAACCCAGAAAUUAGUACGUACACAACAAAAGUUUAAAAAAAAAAAAAUUGGUUUGGUUAAUGUGGAAAUUUAACAUCAUGACAAGCAUAAAAAACUGUUCAGCAGUACAGUAGAGAGGUCAAGACCUGAGAACACUGUAUUGAGACUUAUUCAGAUGAACACUUCAGAUAGUCACUGAAAAGCUAAGGAGCAGAUGAAUUGAAUAAAGAACAAUGGCGAUGAUAAUACCUGCGGCUGAAUUUGUAGGGGGAGAGAAGUCCUAGAAACCGUCAUAGAUGCCAUAGCGAUGGAUGUUCACGAUUAAUCUUUGAGCUUACUAUUGUGGAAAAGUAUUAGUGAUUCGCCAAACGUAACCCAUGACCCUUCCUUAACCAAAGAACGCAUGCAAUGACAUCUUCUGGAGAGCGGCUCCUGGAAUUUUUCCAUCCACAACCUAAUUGCAUUAUCAACCUACUGACACAUAAAAGAUGUCAAUAGGCAAUGUGCUGUUGCACCACUGGACCCGCAAAUGGUCAUCAAUGUCGGUUAUACCGCCAAUAAUUUGUACCUGACCCUUCAUAGUCGUAUUAUUCGAUUAAUCUAUUUAAAGAACAUUCAUUUUCUUCAAACAUGCUUUCUCACGUGCCACUGUAAUAUGAUGUUUUUGAUACACAAAAUACUAUCUCUUCAAGAGCUUUGACUCCUAUAUACUUGGGACAUUAAAUUGUUUUAGCAACAAUGAGCUUGGGAUAUCUCUGUUUUCGGGAUUUCAGUUGCUAAGGGAAACAAAAAGGACGUCCUCUAAUGAAUCGACGGUAUUUUGCUAUAACAAACCUGGAAGAGAGAUGAGCGUCUUACAUAAUUACAAAAAAAUGAUCACGCAAUAGUUGGUAGAAAUUUACUCUGCUGACGUGCAUGAACAUUCUGAACAAAAAACGGAAAACAUGCAUGAACAUUUCCGGCCAGGAAGCAUUCACGAGGAGCUGAGAGACACUCUAUUUCUUAAAGCAGCAAAAUGAUUACGAGCUUGUUCUUUUGGUGAGUGGAAUGAAUAAAUUGUUCAAAAAAUCCUAAACUUAUUGUCCGACCACUAAUUUAAUUCUAAACGUUUUAAUUUGAUCAAUGUUGUCUAAAACUUUUGACAAUUUUUUGUAGUCCACCUAGUUAAAUUUAGGUCGAAAAUCAGUGAUGAAGCAAUUUAGUAAACACUAGCUGUUUUAAGUGAUACAACCGAUAGCUGAUAUAGAUGAUCUUAAAUGAUGUGGCGUCGUUUCACAAUUUUUUAAUAUUCUUUCUUUUUCUUUUUUAGUAAUUUUUUUUCCUAUUCUUUCGUUCUCUAGUGUUCAUUUUCUUCCCUCUGCCGGUGGCCGAUGCCUCAGCAAUGACCGGCGACCAUCAUAGGCUACAAGUGAGGGCAUUGAGCGAGACUUGCAAGCCUUCUCCUAGAUUUGGGCAAGGGCCCUAUAGGCCCUCAUUGGCCGUAGGCAAGGUUGGGGACUUGCAAGCCCUUGCCUAGAUCUACCCUCUAAUGGGGUCAAUGCCUGCCAUCACCAAAGCCUCAAUGUCUUGCUCUGGAAAGAAAAUGAACAGCAGAGAAGGAGACAAUAGGAAAAGAAAGAAAAAAGAAAAAGAGAGGAAAGGAAAAAGGGAAAAAAUCUGAAAAUAAUAACAAAAAAUUGCAAAAUGACGUUGUUUCAUUUAAGAUCAUCCAUGUCAAUUGCCAAUCAUGCAACGUGGCCUACCUUGUUGGAUGUAGUAGAUUUAGGAUAUUUUGAAUAUUUUUCUCCUAUUAAAUAUGCCCGGUUUAUUUGAUAUCCUAAAAUUUGUCAACUUUGUGAAAUCAAGUUCUAAAAUUUGUUGGCACUCUUUUCAUAUUGGAUGAAGUUAAUGAAAUGACUUGAUUACAACUACUUGGUAAGUUUUAUGACUUGAUUGUAAUUUUUGAAAAUUGUCGGACUCAAUUGCAUCUCUAUAAUAAGUUUUAAAACUUGAUUACGCUAUCUAAAAAUUUUAAGAUUUUCAAUAUACUUAUCCCUAAAAUAAAAUAAAAAGGGCCUACCCCCUUUACAUGAACUCUUUAAUUUAAACGCACCAUGGAAUUUCCUGUCCUUUUACACAAUUUCAUUAACUAAGAUUUUAUUUUAUUUUUUGGGUUAAAACCAAGAUUUAGUUCUUCUUCUUCUUUUUUUUCGGACCAGCCAAGAUUUAGUUCAAAGAUAGAUAUUUUGAGGAGAAAAAAAUUUCAGCAAACUAUGCAAGGAUUUGCAAAAGAUCGCAACAAUAUUACCGGAAGCAUAUAAUUAUUUAUCACUGACGAAUGAUAUAGUAAAAAUUCUUUUAGAAGUUUACCUUAAGUUUAGCAAGAUCUGCUUAUUCGGCAGCCUUGAGUUUCUUCGAUUCCUUCUCUCUUGCCUUCAAACAGAUAUAGAAAUGGCAACGCAGAAUAUCAAGAUAGAUUGCCAUUGACAAAGCUGUAAAAGCCUACUCAAUCGAGCAAAACUGGGACAGUUUUUCCAGCAAUCUUGACCACCUCCGUAGCAUGCCGUGGAAAUAGAUAGGAACACAUGUAGAGGGACAAGCUGAUUAUCACUUGCUUUUAGUCAAGCAUUCGAAACUUUGAGAUUCAUGCACUAUAAGAUAGCUAGACAAGCAAAAAAAAUGAUGGGCAUUUCAGUUGAGGUGUCAAGAGCAAUUAGAUUGAAUUCAAACCAAAUAAAGCUUGACGCAGAAAAGAGAAAUGUUGUGCAUUGAGCGAAUAUAUGACAAAAUAAGUGCAAAGAGAGUCAAUGAUGUUCUAGCGCUUUGGCCAAUUGAGUUCUUAAAAUUUUACUUUGCUUAAUUGAAUCCUCGGCCUUUUCAAUUUCAGUCAAUUGAGUCCCUCAACCUUGAUCCUCGGAAAUAGUCACAUGGCUAUGAUUUUCCAAGUUGAUAAGAAGAUGCUCGAGAAGAAAACCGGGUAGGAGGUGAAAUGGGACCUAAGUGCAAGUUUUACUAUUUCAGUAACUACAAUUGAUCUGACAGAAGGUUGAACUUUCAUGGAUCUGGCACUUCGUUUGAAGCUAUACAAACAGAAAUCAGCGGGCUCAAGAAGCCAAUCUUUUAGACAGUUUCUGAAUUAUCACACAGAAAAGCACUAGGAUAUCUUUACACAUUCACUUAUUAUAUCCUCUAUAAACUAACAGUUAUUAGAGUAUAUUAGGCAUCAUUUAUUUGUAGUACAUUAGGUACAGAUGUCCUCUCUCUGAAAUUCCCUCUUUUCCUCUUCUUACGAUUAGCUUUGCCAGAAGAUGUUUCCAACUUCCGACAUUGAUGAUGUCAUUUCAAGGAGUUCUCAAUGUUUAUCACAAAUCGGUACUUAACAUCUCUCUUGAUGAGCCCCUCAAGGGCUUCAUUGGCAUAAUCGAUCAGUAUCACUUCGAUUUCUUGGUGUAUGUGCUGUGGCGCACAGAGGUCUAUCAUUUCUUGGAUAUACUUCAUUCCUCCAGUAGCGCUACCCAAAACUGUUUUCAUACCUGCAAAAAGUUCAUUGUGAGCAACUUAGUUGGCUUGCCUAUCAGGUAUCAAUAUUUCAUUCGGUAAUGAGCUUUGAGAAUAAAAACAUACCAAGGUUAAGGGAGGAAGUACACUAAUGGUGCCAUAAGUUAUGUACGGCGCUCACUUUGGUGUCAAAAAUUUUUGUCGGAUCACUUAAGUGCCAAAAAUUUUGAAAAACGAUCACUUUGGUGCCAUCGUCGAUUUGGUUGGUCGGAAAUCUGACGUGACAAUUUUUUAUUAAUUUUUUAUGCCGACGUGGAUCGUCGGAUAAUACAAUCAACAAACAAAGAACAAAACGAUGCCGUUUACCAUUUUCCCCCAAAUAAAAACCCCUAAAUCCCUAAUUUCGACUAGAACUGGAAGUUGAAAACCCUAAAUCCCCAAUUCGACCAUUUCGAGUGCAUAUUUCGAUUUUCUGCCAAAGUUAUCAACUUGCUUUUGCAAAUGGAGGACAAAAGUUUCAACAGUGGCUCGCAUUCCUAUAAGAAAAGCGAAUUAGAUGGUGAGUGUUACUGUUAUUGUGGGUUACCGAGUCCGAGAAGAAUAUCUUGGACUUGGUUGAAUCCCGGGAGAAGAUUCCAUGGGUGCGGCAGAUAUAGAGAAAGCUCGAAGUGCCAUUAUUUCAAAUGGGUUGAUAGGAAAUUCUCUAAUCGAGCGACAUAUGUGAUAUUGGAGUUACUUGAAGGCCAAAAUCAACCUCCAUCUAUGUUAAUGGACGAGCUGGGGGAUGUCGACUCAAUACAAGCUCAAAUGAAGGGUUUAACAUCUCUGAUGGACCAUUUGAAGAGAGAGGUUUCAAGGCUGAAAAUUGAAAGAAACUUUAUCGAGCGUUGAUUGUAUUCUUAUUCUCUUGGGUAGUUUAUUCAAAUGUAAAGUGAGUAAUGAGAAGAAAUUUGUAUGUCUACCAUAGUCGAAGACGUGGAAUAUGCACUUGUAUUGGAUUAUUUAUAAGUAAAAUGUGUUUUUUGGUUUGUUGCAAUUUUUAUAUAGAGCAGAAUGUUUUAUUGUUGUAAUCUAUAGGUAGAAAUGUAAGGUUGGACUUGGAAUGCAUUAGUUGUGAGCACUUAAAAAGUUUUGUUGUUUAGUUGUGUAUUGUCAAUGUUUGUUUUUGUUAGUUUUUACUUCAAAUAUAAUGGUUUACUGCAUUUUUUAUUUGGUAAUAGUUUGCUGCAUUGAAAGCAAACGGUAAUGGUUUGCUGCAUUUUUUAUUUGGUAAUGAUUUGCUGCAUUGAAAGCUUUUGAUAAUGGUUUGCUGCAUUUUUUUUAUUUGGUAAUGGUUUGCUGCAUUUUUUAUUUGGUAAUGGUUUGCUAGUUUGCUGGUUUGCUUCAACUGUUAAACCAUGGCUGAAUGGCCGAAAUUAAAGAAUGGUGCCAAAUUCACGAUUGAUCAUUUCAGUGCCAUAAGUUGUAAAUAGUGAUCGCUUAAGUACCAAGUUUUUAUAGAAGUGAUCAUUUAAGUGCUAGUCGCAAUUACAAAGUGAUCACUUAUGUUGCACAAGUUUUUUAAAAAAUAACAUGUUAGUGCCAAACGUCACAUUCCAAAUGCACAGAGUUCUUGCACCAGUUGAGUUGCUGGUGCAUCUUCUUGCACCAACCCAUACAGAUGUCGAUGCAACAAGAUGUACCAGCACCCAAAGUGCUCUUGUAGCAGCACAUAUAAUCAGAACCCCACAAAUUCAUUAUAAUCCACAACUUUAACCAACAACAGCAACAUUGCAGCAACAACAACAUUGCAAUAACAACAAAAAUAAAAUAUAUAGCAUAACUAACUUGCUAGCAUUCUAGCUAAAACCAACACAAGAGAAAAUGAAAAGUCAUUCCAGUACUUGCCAUUAACAUUGCUUGAUUGUUUACAAAAUACAAAAUACAAAAAAAAAAAAAAAAAACAUGUCUAACUUCACUCCCUAAUCAUCAAAAGUUCAGCACUUUCCUAAAAAAAAACAAUGGCAAUAUGCAAGCAGCAACUACCAUUGAUGAUAUAAUAUCCAGCACACUCCUAAAAAAAGAAAACAUGGAAAGAGACCAUGUCUAGCAUCACAUAAAAAGAGACCAUGUCCAACACCCUCCCAUCAGUCAAUAUUGACAACACCCUGAUCUCUUUUUCUUAUUAGAGCUUUGAAUUGAUUCAUAAUCCGAGCACUCUUUCGAACUGGAUGUGCAGGUUCUUAACUGGGCUUUCUGUCACCUCAUUUUCCUUUUCCUUGUUUUUUACGGCAGCUAUUUUUGUUCUAGCACGUAUCAUGUGUUGGUCCAUAUCAUCACUACUGCUCCCAAUCGUUGGUUGAGAUGGAACUAGUGAUGGGUUCUUUUUGGAUGGCUGUUUCGCAGCUAUACCCACUGUCUUCUUCUUCUUCUUCUUUGGAGCACUCUUCUUUGGAUGCGCCCUUAAUUCUUGAGUUGGCCCACCUUGAGAGAGAAGUACCUCUGAAGUUCUCCCAGGCUACAAGAACAUAAUGAUAUUGUCAACCAAAUGAAUUGAAGUACAACAAAUUAAAUGCAUAAGGCCUAUAAAUUUUACAUUCAAAAUAGUCAUUCCAGUACGUUCAUCUGUGUAAAUCCCAUAACCAUAUUGCCUUAAUUUUUUUCCAAGAGCCCCUUUUGUUCGCUGUGAUGCAUCAUUUUCAGCAACAACAAUCUGAUAUUGCUAGUAUGAGUACCUAGAGGGGGGUGAAUAGGUAUAUAAAGAGUUUUUCUCAAGCAAUUGCACAAUACUAGACAGUUGGAUGAAACGAUAAUCAAAGUAAGACUGAGAGAAGAGAAAAUUUAAUACGCGGUUUAUAGUGGUUCGGCUUAUAUCAAGCCUACGUCCACUCUUCUUCACUGACAGCCUAUUGGCUGGAUUCCACUAUGAACAAGAGAGAGGUUACAGCACAGCUUUGCCUUGAUUCCACAGUGUAGAUGUUCUACUACACCUCCUCAAGAUUUCUCACAAAUAUAGACUCUCUCUUUCGUAUACAAGUAUUCGCUCAAAGGAUUUGUCUAAACAAAAAGAAGUUUCAGACUUUGGAAUUCUUCUAUCGCGCACACCUUGAACAACUAAGACAGUCUUCCUUAUAUACUCCUUUAUGCCAUCAUACCCGUUGGCACUUACCAAAGGAAUUCCUCCAAUCUACCCGUUGAACGGAAUCAAUUAGGAAGAUUGUCCAAGCUAUAAAUGGAACGUGUUGAUAGCCCAUCAAUCAUGUUCGCCCAUACAAUCAGGAUCUCGGUUUCCAUAAGCAGAACCUUCCAAUAAUAUUUAGGCAAUCACCGGAUCUUCAAUUAUCGAAUCAAUCUUCGAUCAAUCAAAGGACUCCGUUUAUGUCUUCUCCAGCCAUGAGAUCUUCUCCAGUUGAUAAGGUUAAAUCCUCAACGAAACAUCCAGUUCUGGAUAACCUUUCUUCAACAAAUUAGAGACUGUCAAUGAGGAUAGACUUUGAGUCUUGAGUCUAGCUGUCCUAAGGUCUUUAGACUUUAAAUAGCAGAGUCUGCAAGCCUUCAGACUAGACUGAUAUAAACGAUUUGUCAACUUCAAAACACUUCAAGAAGAUUUCUCCAACAAUCUCCCCCUUUUUGAUGGUGACAAAACUUUCCUGCAGAUUUGGAUAUCUUUGACCUGCAAAACAUUUCUCAAACACAUAUACAUAUCUUAUAGAGGUAAAUGUCUUAACAGAAUAACACUAGAAUCUGCAACCACAGAAAAUAGGUUAGUCCAGUAUAUGAUGAAGCCAUCCAUAAGAUAUCAAUAUUAGUUAAUAGAAGCAGUCAAGUCCAAGUCUAGUUUACUUCUCAUCCAAACACAAACCAAAGUCAAAUAGAUUCAAACCACAAAACAAUCCAACAAAAACAAUUAAAAGUUGAAUGAAAGGUUUUUAAUCAAAUCUUGCAUCUCUCCCCCUUUUUGUCAUCAUUAAAAAGGAUGAGAUGAAGUUAAGAAUGCUUGGGAACGCGGACAAGCUGGAAAUCUUCCAUAGACUGAACAAUGCCUUCCAACCUUUUAAAGUCUUCCUUUAGCUGUGCAAUCUCCUCACUCUUGGCAUUGGCCUGAUUCUGAACAGAGAGGGCUUGCAUUUUAUCAUUCAAUAAACAGGAAGAAGCUUGACCUUCAUUCUUCAAGCUUUGAACUUCGCAUCCCAAGGCAUAAAUCUGACCUCGCAUCUCCAAAAGAAUAUCCAUGAUUCUGCGAAAAUCUGCUCCAUUAUCAGUUUGAGUACUUGCUUCGGCUCGAUCUGAUGGAGUAAAUGCAGAUGAUGGUAGAUCAGCAUAAUCUUGCAGGUUUGGCGAUGAAACUUCAUGACCUUCUUCUGGAAAUUGAGAUGCAUAAACAUCCUCUGGAUCUGCUGGUGAGCGACUGAUUCCUUCACUUGCAUCAGGACAUGAAGACUUCACUCCUUUCUCCUGAUCUCCCCCUGUUUCCAUGCCUACAGGUGGAGAAGAGUGUUCUUCAGGUUCUCCUUCUUCUCUUCUUUCUUCUUCAGGUCUUUCCUCCUCUGUUUCUUUUUCAGCUUCUAUUUCUUCUUCUUCCUUCUCCUCUGCUUCUUUCGUCAUUUGCUCCGAUUCUUUCUGUGGAACAAGACGACUUAAAUUCUUCAAAGCCAAUGCAGAGAUGGUGAUGUCUUCCUCAUCAUCUUCAUCCUCAACAAGGAGAGCUCUUCUUCUCUUGGAUGGAGCAACCAUGGGCUCCUUCCCUUUUCUUUUAGCUGCAGAAGAUAUUUGAUGAGAUUUUGCAGGAGUCUUCUCCUUGAAUUUCUCCAACUCCUUGCUCAGUUCUUUCAGACGCAUUUUGGUCACCAUUUUCAGACCUACCACCAUAUGAUCGCAUGGUCGAACACAAAAGAUUUGUAGAGGCUGAAUAUUCAGAUGUCUGAAUAACUUCGUAACAAGGCUUGGGUAAGGGAGUUGACCUCCGUCCUUCAUCAUUGCUCUAUACAUGUGAAACAUCACAGUGUGAGGGAGAGAAAACCUUUUUCCAAAGAGAAUGGCAUACAUCAACUUGGCCUCUGAACUUGAAACAUCAGUCUUGGAAGUCGAUUUCGGUCGGAUGCAAUUAAUCACAAUCUUGUGAAGCAAGAUGUUGAAUGCACCCAUCCUUAAGUAGGUGAUCUUUUCAUCUGUUCUCCUGUCCUUCACCAGUUCAAGAGUGGCCCGAGCAAUGGAAACUUUGAUUGGCUGAUAUCUUCCUCUUUCGACUUCUAACACAUCUGCCAGCAUAUUCAUAUCCACAACAUAAUCUUGGUUUUUAACGCUGAACGAGAAUCUAUUCGCAUCCAAAAAGCUUAGAUUUGAAUAGAAAUAUGCAGUUAAUUCAGCAUAGGCCUCUGUAGAGUCAGAGCAGAACUUUUCAAGUUGAAGAUAACUGAACUUUUCCCUCAAGUUCAUAUUCACAGCAUCCAGAAAAUCGAAAUCUACACUCCUAGGGUUUAUCACCCCACGCUUCAGCAAUUUCGAGUACAGAUCCUUUUGCUCCUUUGAUCUGAACAAAUCUCCCCUUUUUCCUUGGUUAUCAACCGCAACACCCAUUUUCGGUUGGAAUUGACUGUACAAUUUAUCAUCAUCAUUCCCAUCUACAGGAUUCGGCCCCCAGUCACGAGGAUCACUUGGGAUAUUUGCAAGGGUUUCCUCAGCCACCCCUUUUCGAGCAAUUCCCAAACUUUCCAUUUUUUUCAGAAAGAUAUAUUCGUUCCCAUGUCCUUUGUCUUUAAGAAAAUCAUCAAUGUAGUUCAAAGGAGUACGAAUUCCUUUUAGGGCACGAUAUAACUGGUAAAUAUAAGUGGGCUUUUGAACUCUUACAGGGUCUGCAUCCUCGAUGAUUUCUUCCUGUUGUUGAUGAUCAACGCCUUGAGGACUAGAUGGAGGAGAAUGACACUGUUGAGAAUGUUGUGGGCUCGCUUGCUGAUCUGGAGUCACUUCAUCUUCAGUAAGAUCGAAGUGCGUAGGCCCCUCACUCAUCCGCCGUGGUCCCCUGCUUGCAAUUCUCGAAGACUUUCUUGAAGAUGACAUCUUAGUUUUUGGAAGAUUCCUUGCUUGACUUUCCCAGGAAAGAUGACAACUUUUUAAGGAUUAAACGAAGAAGACAAACGGGAAUGGAGGAUCGAUGCUUUCUAGGGUUUUUGAGAGAAAAGUGAAGAGGAAUCGAUAGUUCACGAUCGGUUAAGAAGAGGGAUAAACGAACCAUCAUAAAGGAAAUAAAAAUAUGCCUUUUCAAAAUAACUGUCUUUUUCCGCAAAAAUAGCCAUUUCAAAAAUAACUUCCCUUUUGAAAAUGAAACGAUGCAAUAUUUACUUCAAUUAAAUAUAGCAACAAUUUAAACACAGUCUGACAAUCGUACCUUUUCAAGAUGAGAUUCAAGAGAGAAAGACUUACAGUCUGACGGACGUACCAAGACUGUCUUUCAGAUAAAGUCUUGUAAGUCUGAGUCUGAAAGUCUUUAGACUUUGAUAUCCUCAUACCUCAAAAUGUUGAGUCUCGAGCGUAUAGACUCAAAUUGAUUUUUCUCCAAAGGCUUUGUGAAUAUAUCCGCCAGUUGAUUCUUUGAGUCAACAAAUUGAAUUGAAACAUCUCCAUUUUGAACAUGGUCUCUUAUAAAAUGAUGUCGAAUCUCUAUAUGCUUUGCUCUUGAGUGGAGAAUUGGAUUUUUGGUGAGGUUGAUAGCGCUGGUGUUGUCGCAAUUAAUUUCCGUGCAUGAGUCUUCAAUUUCAAAGUCUCUUAGCUGUUGUUUUAUCCAUAGAAUUUGCGAAUAGCAGCUUCCCAGAGCUACAUACUCUGCUUCUGUUGUUGAAAGAGACACAGUGCUUUGUUUCCUUGAAAACCAAGACACUGUCCUGCUUCCAAGCAACUGGCAAGUUCCCGAAGUGCUCUUUCUAUCAACUCUGCAAUCGGCCAGAUCUGCAUCUGAAUAUCCCAUAAGAUUAAAGUCUCCCUUCUUAGGAUACCAAAGACCGAUGCUUGAUGAUGAAGCAACGUAUUUAAUGAUGCGUUUCGCAGCACUGAGAUGGGAUUCUCUAGGAUCUGAUUGAAACCUAGCAUAGAUGCAAACACUCAACAAGAUGUCAGGUCUAGAAGCAGUAAGAUAAAGGAGUGAACCAAUGAUGCUUCUGUACAGCUUUUGAUCAACUUUCUUCCCUUCUUCAUCUUUGUCUAUCUUCAAAGAACUUGACAUCGGUAUGUCGGUCUUUUUGCACUUUUCUAAUCCAAAUCUUUUGACAAGAUCAUUAACAUAUUUUUCUUGAUAAAUAAAGGUUCAUUCCUUCAAUUGUUUUACUUGAAGACCAAGAAAGAAUGUUAACUCUCCCAUCAUACUCAUUUCAAAUUCAUCCUGCAUAGACUUAGAAAAUUUCUUGCACAUAUUUUCAUUAGAAGAUCCGAAUAUAAUGUCGUCCACAUAUAUUUGAACAAGUAAGAAACUUUUGUUCUCCUUUUUGAUAAAUAAAGUAGUAUCCACUUUACCUUUGACAAAACCAUUUUGUAUUAAAAACUUACUUAAUCUGUCGUACCAAGCUCGAGGUGCUUGCUUUAAACCAUACAGAGCCUUCUUCAGUCUGAAGACUGAGUCUGGCUUCUUUGGGUCUUCAAACCCUGGUGGUUGUUCCACAUAAACUUCCUCUUGGAUGACUCCAUUUAGGAAGGCGCUUUUGACGUCCAUUUGGAAUAACCUGAAAUUCUUAUAACAAGCAAACGCAAGUAAUAGUCGAAUAGCUUCUAACCUUGCUACUGGAGCAUAAGUCUCAUCAUAGUCUAUUCCUUCUUCUUUCAUAUAUCCCUUGGCCACGAGUCUUGCUUUGUUUCGUAUGACUUUUCCUUUCUCAUUCAUCUUGUUUCUGAACACCCAUUUAGCUCCAAUAACAGUUUUACCUUUUGGUUUGGAUGUCAAUUUCCAGACAUCAUUAAUGCUAAACUGUCUGAGCUCUUCUUGCAUAGCUUCAAUCCAGCUUUCAUUAGAUAAAGCUUCUUCUAUGCUUUUUGGUUCAAUUUUAGAAACGAGAGCCACAACACUAGACUUUUCUCGCCUUUUGGAUCUAGUGCGAAUUCCUUCAUUCAUUUCGCCGAUUAUAAGAUCUUUGGGAUGACUGGACUUAUGCUUCCAGUUACUCGUUGAUCUGUCUGGUUGAUGAUUUCUUUCUUUGUUUGGAUCUUCACGAACAUCUUGAAGCUGGUUUUCCAGAGUCUGAGAUGCUUCUUGAGAUGUAAGCUUUGGAAGAUCUGGAGCAGGUUCAGACUCUUCUUGAUGAGUCUGACUUGAUUCAUCUUGUGUUGAGUCUUGGAAUUUGACAUUCAUUGACUCCUCCAUAAACUGGCUCUUCUUGUUAUAGACUCUGAAGGCUUUGCUUGAUGUAGAAUAUCCAAGGAAGAUACCUUCAUCUGAUCUUUCUUCAAACUUACCAACUUGAUCUUUUGCAUUUUUCAAUAUAAAACAUUUGCAACCGUAUACAUGAAAGUAUGAAACAAUAGGCUUCUUAUCUUUGAACAAUUCGUAAGGGGUUUUCUCUAGAAUAGGUCUUAAGAAGAUUCUAUUGAUGAUAUAACAUGCUGUUGAAACAGCUUCAGCCCAAAAUCGUGAAGAAAUCUUGCUUUCAAAUAAAAGAGUUCUAGCCAUUUCCUGAAGAGAUCUGUUCUUUCUUUCCACAACUCCAUUUUGCUGAGGAGUAUAUGGAGAGGAGAACACAUGAUUAAAGCCAGAUUCAUCACAAAAUUUUGUAAAAUCUUGAUUUUCAAAUUCACUUCCAUGAUAUGUUCUUAUACUUGAGAUAACACAUCCUUUUUUCAUUUUGAACCUUUUUAGCAAACUUUUCAAAAUACGAGAAGGUUUCAGACUUACUUGCAAGGAAAUAUACCCAAGUAAAACGGGAGUAAUCGUCCACAAUUACUAGGCAAUAUUUCUUACCUCCAAUACUCUGUGUUCUGGUUGGUCCGAAGAGAUCCAUAUGCAGCAACUGUAGUACAUGAUUAGUAGAGACAUGAUUUAUUGGCUUGAAUGAAUUUCUUAUCUGCUUUCCCAGAAUACAUGGAGUGCAUGGAUCAGUCUUUUGAUAAGGUAAUUUGGGUAGUCCUUGAACAAGCUGCUUUGAUGAGAUUUUGGCUAAUUGCUUCAUGUUAACAUGACCAAGCUUUCUGUGCCAUAAGCUUGCUUCGUCUUGAAUUGAGAUAAAACAUUGCGAUUCAUUUGGUUUCACAUCCAGAAGAUAAAUGUUUCCAUGUCUACGACCCAUGAAAGACUGAGUAGAGUCUUUACUGAUUCCAGAACAUAUUCCUUCUUGAAAAAAGAUCUUGAAACCAGUAUCACACAAUUGACUAAUGCUGAGAAGAUUGUAAUUGAGUCCUUCCACUAAGGAAACAUUACUUAUUGUGAGAUUUCCAAUUUUCACAGUUCCAAAUCCCACAAUACUCCCUUUGUUGUUUCCUCCAAAUGAAACUUUUCCACCAUUUACUUGAGCAAUCUUUAUAAAACAAUUUGAGUCUCCUGUCAUGUGUCUUGAGCAUCCACUGUCAAGAUACCACUUUACCUUUUUCUUGACGGUGACCUGCAUUUAAAAAAGAGUCUCAAGCUUUCUUUGGUACCCAAACUUUCUUGGGUCCUUUUGUGUUAGUAACAUAAGCAGUAUUAGCCCAUAUUCUCUUAACAGGUUUCCAAACCAUAGGACACUCUUUUUCAAGGUGAUCCGGACUGUUGCAUUUUGAACAUUUUAGAGCAUUUCUUCCUACAGAUUUUACAAAAACUUUCUUGAAGUGAUUUUUGUAAACCUCUCUCGAGAGUCUUUUCUUAAUUCUUUCUUUUACUUUAGGAAAAUCAAUCAGGGGAAUUGUUUCUUCUGUCAUACCUAAACCGGACUUAUUGAAGUAAGGUCUUUGAGCUGAAAGAAUUUUCUCAAGUUUUUCGGACCCUAUUGAAAAUUUCUUUGAGAUAUUUGAUAAGUCUGUUUUUAAAAAAGCAUUUUCUUUUAAAAGAUCAUCUUCAUUUUCUUUAAGAGUGGAAACAGUCAAGUCAAGACUUUUAACUCUUUCUACUAAAACAUUUUCCUUUUGUUUUAGAGCUGAGUUUUCCUUUUUCAGUUCGGAAAUUCUUUUGAGAGAAGUCUUAAGACUAAAACAUAAUUCAUCAAUAUAUUUAGAAACUUUGACAGGAAUUUUAAUAUCACUUGCCUCAAAUUUACUGUCUGAGUUUGAUCCAGAGUCUGAGUCUGAUUGUGCCAUCAGACAUAGAUUGGCAUAUUCAUUAUCACUUUUUUCACACUCUGUGUCACUCCAUGUUUUGGCUUUGAGAGCUUUUCGAAAUCUUUCAGCUUUUCCUUUCUUCUUUUUCAGAAGAGGACAGUUGGGUCUGAUGUGUCCCUUUUUCUUACAUUCAAAGCAGACUAUGUCUUUGUUUGGUUCCUCAUCAUCAACAGACUUGGUCUGCUGUCUUUGAAAGCUUUGUUUCUUUGAAUUGAACCUUCUUCCUUUUCUAUUCAGUUUUCUGAAUCUUCUUAUCAUGAGAGCAAGCUCCUCAUCGUCCAUAUCUUCUUCAGAAUCUGUAUCAUCAGAAUCAUUAUUUGAUUUUAAUGCAAUGGAUUUCUUACCUUUUGGAUCUUCAUCUUCAUUGAUCCAUUCCACUUCAUAAGACUGAAGAGUUCCAAUUAGCUCGUCGACAGAUAGUGGCAUAAUUCUUUGCGUCUCUCUUAUCGAAGUCUUUAUGUGAUUCUAAUCCCUGGAGAGUCCACGCAGUAGCUUGUUUACCUUCAUGGGAUCAGAAGUUGGUUGACCUUGAUUUUCAAGACCAUUCACAAUAUCUGUAAAACGACUAAACAUGUCAGAUAUAGAUUCUCCUGGUUUCAUUCUGAAGGCUUCGUAUUGACCAAGAAGAAUGUUGAUUAUAGUUUCCUUCACUCGAUCUGUUCCUUCAUAAGUGAUAUGCAAUCUAUCCCAAACUUCUUUUGUUGUACCACAAGAAGAUAUUCUAUUAUAUUCAGUUGGUGAUAAAGCACAAUAUAAGGAGUAAAUUGCUUUUGCAUCGAGUGCUUGUCUUUUGUUUAUUUCUUCCUGAGACAUUCCGCUGGUUUCAUCAGUUUCUUUUCCUCUUUCAGAUACUGAUGCAGUGGUAGGAGUAAUUCCUUUUUCUACAACGUCCCAUUCCAGAGGAUCCUUUGAUCGAAGGAAAGCUUUCAUCUUGUUCUUCCAGAUGUUGUAAUCCUUUCCAUCAAAGUAGGGUGGUCUGGUAUUGCUUUGCCCUUCCAUCAACCCUGGUGCUAGCAUACUAGCCAUGGAUCUUUUACUACGAAGUAAAACACUUCAAAUAAAGUAAGUACACAGGCUCUGAUACCAAUUGAUAUUGCUAGUAUGAGUACCUAGAGGGGGGUGAAUAGGUAUAUAAAGAGUUUUUCUCAAGCAAUUGCACAAUACUAGACAGUUGGAUGAAACGAUAAUCAAAGUAAGACUGAGAGAAGAGAAAAUUUAACACGCGGUUUAUAGUGGUUCGGCUUAUAUCAAGCCUACGUCCACUCUUCUUCACUGACAGCCUAUUGGCUAGAUUCCACUAUGAACAAGAGAGAGGUUACAGCACAGCUUUGCCUUGAUUCCACAGUGUAGAUGUUCUACUACACCUCCUCAAGAUUUCUCACAAAUAUAGACUCUCUCUUUCGUAUACAAGUAUUCGCUCAAAGGAUUUGUCUAAACAAAAAGAAGCUUCAGACUUUGGAAUUAUUCUAUCGCGCACACCUUGAACAACUAAGACAGUCUUCCUUAUAUACUCCUUUAUGCCAUUAUACCCGUUGGCACUUACCAAAGGAAUUCCUCAAAUCUACCCGUUGGACGGAAUCAAUUAGGAAGAUUGUCCAAGCUAUAAAUGGAACGUGUUGAUAGCCCAUCAAUCAUGUUCGCCCAUACAAUCAGGAUCUCGGUUUCCAUAAGCAGAACCUUCCAAUAAUAUUUAGGCAAUCACCGGAUCUUCAAUUAUCGAAUCAAUCUUCGAUCAAUCAAAGGACUCCGUUUAUGUCUUCUCCAGCCAUGAGAUCUUCUCCAGUUGAUAAGGUUAAAUCCUCAACGAAACAUCCAGUUCUGGAUAACCUUUCUUCAACGGAUUAGAGACUGUCAAUGAGGAUAGACUUUGAGUCUUGAGUCUGGCUGUCCCAAGGUCUUCAGACUUUAAAUAGCAGAGUCUGCAAGCCUUCAGACUAGACUGAUAGAAACGAUUUGUCAACUUCAAAACACUUCAAGAAGAUUUCUCCAACACAAUCCUUGUAGCAACCUCUGCAACUUGUGCAGUUGCUCGUCUUCUCACCUAAGAAACACAUAACAAAUGUAAAUUUUAGCCCAUAAAAAGGCCAAACACAGUGAUGUACAACUUACAGGAUAUUUUUUUCUUGUUUGCUCAACGGUGGACUCAGUUGUUAUUGUUGCUGUCUUACCAAUUCUAGUCCUUAUCCCUGCACUUGAGCCUACAACAUGGCCUUUUUCUGGCCCUUUAGUAGGCCUUACAACAAUGUGCUGUAUUAGGAUUAUGACCAACUACAACGAAUAAUUACACAUCUCAUUUUCAUAGUGGAAACACAUGGAGAAAACUUCUCAAAUUACAAGUGCAUGACAGAGGAAAAGCACAAGAGAAGCUAGUACACAUGGUCAACCAUCAAACUCUAUCGAAUAAGAACUGUAAAGUUACUGAGAUAAAGAGGAUACUUACCUUACAGUAUGGCUUUCUGUUGCCCUUUAGUAGACAUUACAGCAGGGCCUUCUGUUCUCCCUUCAAUAAGCCCAACAAGAAACUCUUUGUAAGUCAUGUCCCUGGCAUUGAAUCAACCAUUACAUCUUGCUAUUGAUACUGCUUUUUCAGCUCACAACCUUUCUUAUCGUGCCCUUCCUUGCGGCAAUAGGAGCAUUUCAUAUUUGAUCUAGUCCUACUCAUCCUUUGACUUGAUGCCUCUUCCUAUUGCAUUCUUCGUCUCUUUUUUGGCCUUCAUAUUUGCUUCUUCAGCGGUAAAGGUAGAGGGCUUUAAUGAUUUGUUGGCUCCCAAAAUUUGCUGCUUCUGAUAGGCUACAUCAUGAAUUGGUAUGAAGCAAGGUAUGAGCUUUUUUUGUACCAAUCAUCUAGGUAAUCAUCUAGGUUUUCUUGCUUCAUCUGAAUAGCACAAAUGGCAUGAGCACAGGGAAUUCCAUUCAGUUGCCAAGCUCGGCAUGAACACUUUCUUCUAUCCAAGUUGACAACAUACUUAUCAUGAUUUGGAAUAAUCUCAUACCCAUUAUCUUCAUUCCAAACUGGAUGGCAGAACCUACUAACAGCAAUAUUUGCAUCUAAUCUCUUCACAAUCCUAGGGCCACAGUCUCUACUCCAUUUUGUAGCAUCAUCUCUUUGCCUAUGCAGUCUAGUCAUAACCAUAACUCGAAUAUCAUCAAGCAUGCUGAUGAUUGGUUUGCACCUAGCCUCUAAAAUUCUACCAUUGAAAGCUUCAUUGAGGUUGUUAUCAAUGUUAUCGCAUUUGAACUCUUCGCUGAAGAAGACCCGACACCAGUGCUUAGCUUCUGUCUGGAAGAGUGUAUCAAAACCUUCAUUUGUCAGCUGUAACAAUCCUUGUUUCGCUAAUUUGAAAUCAACCAUAUUCGUACUCUUUGCUAUCUGCCAGAACUGCUUCUACAACAUAUCUCCUUUGAAGUUCCUUGACCAGUUUGCAUAUAUGUGCCUCGUGCACAUUCUAUGCUCAGCAUGUGGCAUCAACUCAGCCAAUGCAGGAAUAAGUCCAUACAAAAAUUCAAACCAAUAAAUACAAGUCAAGAAAAAUAUGCAAGUGAUUAAUAUAUAAAUGAGUGAUUAUUGACAUGAAAUUACCUUCUAUUGGUUGCUCAUGAAUGCCCAUCCUCCCCCAUCGGUUAUCACAAGGUCAGUCAUCAAAUUUUUUAGGAACCAUGACCAAAUAUCCUUGUUCUCUAUCUUUACCACCGCCCAAGUUAUCGGGAACAUUUAAUUAUUGGCAUCUCUCCCCACAGCAACCAACAACUCCCCCUUGCAUAAACCCUUUAGAAAGCAUCCAUCCAAUCCUAUAACUCUUCUACAACCAACCAAGAAGCCCCGUUUGCAUGCAUCAAAACAGACAUAAAAUCUAUCAAAUUUAGGCCAAAGAUCAGGGAGUGGCCUCUUCACAACCUCUACAUAUACCCUACUGGAUGGGUUUUGAAACAUGUAUUCACCAGCAUAAUUCCAUACCUGUGCAUAUUCUUCUUUAUACCCACCCAUCAAUAUUUUCAUCACCCUUAUCUUAGCUCUCUUACAUUGAUUCCUCGACACAUUAACCUCCACUUGCUCCUUCACUAAUUGUUGAAAUUGAGAACUCUUGAUCUCGGGCAUUGCUUUGAUAGUAUUAAAAAAAUUCUUUGAUAACCACACACUUGUUACCCUUUUAUUAUUAAAGAUAAUUGGACAAGUAUGCUCCUCCUGAAAGGACCUAAGCUAGAAUGACCUAUUCUUACUAAGCGCAGCAUAGAGCUUCCAUGAACAAUUAGGUUGUGAGCACUUAGCUCUCACAAAUUCCUUCGUGUUUCUAAUAAAUUUAACGCUCCUCUGUUCACCAAUUGAGUUCUUCACAACAGCUUCCUUGAACUGUUUGGCAUUGUCAAAUCUCAUGCCCACCGACAAAACAGGUUUAUCAACAGUUGAAUCAUAGAAAGGAUACUUACUUUUUCUUCGAGGAGCAGGUUCUUCAUCAUCAUUGUCAAGCUCAUUUUCCGAACUAGUAACUUCAUCGCCACAGCUUUCUUCAUCUUCACUUCUAUUACCCUCAGCUUGAUCUCCAUCCCUAUUUACUGGCUCGGACCUUUUUGCUAAAGCUACAAGUUUUUUUUUCUCAGAAAUUCCCUUUGCUUUUGUCUUGACUGUACGAGUUCAUCAUCAUCUUCGUCACUUGGAAAAUUUACUAAAGCCAAACAUUCAUCUUCCGAUUCAUUAGAUAAAGCAAUUUCCCAUUCUAAUCCAAUGAAGUCUUCAUCGCCCACAUCUUCACCCAAAUCUUCACCCAAAAUUUCAGGACAUCUCCCUCUUUGUUCAUCUCUAUCAAUAUGACUUAUCUCCCUCUCAUUUUGCCCUUCAUCUAACCUAAACUUAUCCCCGACUUGAUUACUCGUUUGAACAAGAUCCCUCACUUCUCCUCCUUCAGUGGUCGUCUGCUCAUCCACAUCCUCAUCCUCAUCCUCACUAUAAUACUCAACAUAUACCUUAACUUCUUCAUUGUGAAGAUAAUGGUAAAUGAUAUCCUUAAUACCAUUAUCGUUGUUAAAAAAUCUUAACCCAUCCUUCAAUUCCUUCCCAGGAACACAGUAAUGUAGUUUUUGCACUUUGCAUCGUAAAAAAUACACCAAAUCUCUCAGAAAAUCAAUAUAUGAUGGCUUCCAAACAUUGACAUAAAUAGUACCUUAAUUUCCACUAUUUUAUUAUCAAUCUUCAGUGCCAAUAACAAACUCUCCACCAUAGUAAACAAUGACGCUUACCUGAUUCGUGUCCAUGUCGAUGCUGCACCCAAUGAAAAAAAAAAGAGUCAUUGUCGUUUUGUUGGAACCACAUGACAGAAUCGACAACUUCACAUGUAGGUCCUUAUCGUUUUGUUGUCAAGGAACAAAUGCGACUAAAAUCUCCCCAAUUCGGUGGAUUUACAGAAAUAAAAGAAACCGAAUUAAAUAAACAAAGUGAGGUCCCCACCACUCAUUUUUCAAUUCAAUCACAUUCACAUUCGGUCCCCCACAAAAGCAGUCCAAUUAAUUAAAUAAAAAAAUUCGGUCCACCACUGUUUCCCUCCGAGUCAAGCCUCUCCGCACCAUUUUUUCUGUUCGGUCCUCACAAUAGAAAACGAACAAACGAUGGAAGAAUCAAUUUUUCUAUUCCGUCCCCAUAAAAGUGACAUCCCCACCACUUUCCCCACUACUUUCCGCUUGAGCCAAGCCCUCAAUUUGCCCUCCGUGCCCUAAUUUGCCCGUCGGAACCCUAAUUUUUUCGCAAAAUUGAUCCACGUAGAGAACAUGACAAACUUGAACGAUCGUGAACAAUGGCGCAACUACAACGGUGGCCAAGCGAUAGUGGGCGAGCGACAGCAGGCGAGCGAACGACGGUGGGUGAACGACAGUGGGUGAGCGAGCUCCGGCCAGCGUCGAGGAGAAUAAUAUACGAACCCUAUUUUACUCCCUCUUCAGCAACAUCGUUUUUUGCUAUGGAGCAACGCGGCGUCGUUUCUUAUGUGAAUCCACGGUGGAUGGCAAGAAACAACGUUGUUUCUUACAAAGAAAGGAAAACGGCGUCGUUUUAUGCUAUCCACCGUGGACAAUCUUAAGCCACAUCGUUUUUUUUUUAAAUAUAAAAGCCACGUAUUUAUUUUGGCCGAAAUUUCUCGCCAGUGGCACCAAAGUGAUCGUUUUUUCUCCGAUUUGGCACUUAAGUGAUUUGACGGAAACUUUUGACACCAAAGUGAGCGCCGUACACAACUUAUGGCACCAUUAGUGUACUUUUCCCCAAGGUUAAGGCUUGCCACACUGAAUGUAACUUCGCUUUGGGACCCAACCAACGCUAGAACGCCACCCGUCUUCAAAAGAGACAUGUAAGGAUCAAAUAGGUGAUCAGCAGAUGCCGUGUCGAUUAUAAAGUCCAGGGACUUAGCCAUGGCCUGCAUGUAUUGGAAUCAUCAGAUCACGGUAGCACUUGACCUUAAUGGAUCUAAAGUAUUGAUAAUUUUAAAUCUUCCCGCCUGCCUUCGUCUAUUCUUGGUCAGAUGAGAUAACGAAGUGGUCAGCACCAAGCAAGCUCAGUGCUUCCUCCUUUUUAGAAAUGCUUGUACUAAACAUAGCGAAUUUCAGUCCAUAAGCCUUCCCAAGCUUAAUUGCCAUGUGACUGAGCCCACCGAGUCCAAUUACACCAAGAGACUUACCCGGUUGGUUCAUCUUGUGACGCACCAUUUGAGUGUAUAUUGUGAUUCCAGCACAAGGCAAUGGUGCUGCUAAAGCCAACGGGAAGUUUUCUGGAAUCCUGAAGCAGUACCUGUUAAUGAAGCACCACAAUUAAGUUUCCAAAUCACACCAAAGGAGGAAGGGAUUUCCCAAUAGAAUCAGCAUCCCAUCUUUUUUGUACAACGGGAUUCAAAUCACAUUUUACUUGCUUAGAGCACAAUUCAACAUCAUGUGGUUUCUGUGAUUCUUUUUCUGACCACAAAUUGCUUAAGACGAAAACUUCUUGCUGUAGCGACGAAAGUAAAGCCACUGCAGCAUACAGGAGGCCAUACUUGAUCAAAAUUGAGAAAAGAGGCUUGCUCUAACAGAGUACACUGGAAGCAUAUUGCAUAUGCAUGGCAGAUCAUGUAAUUUCUCUAUUCCCCUCAAUCAUGUCUCUAAGGGACACGAUAUUCCCGUGACUGUCGAAUACAAGAAUCCGUGAAAGCACGUACAUUUUAUUACCCAUUUGAUCUAACACUUACCAUCUAACUCUUGGAAACAAUCUAAAAAAAGGGAGGAAGAGGAGAUAGAAGGCAAGAAUUGAGCAAUUUCCAUCUGUUUCUCUCUUUUAAUUAAGAGUUAAUAUCCUAAAAAACUCCAAAUUGGUACACAUGUGACAAAUUUACCCCGAUGGACUAUUAAAAACCCUAAAAUUAUAUAUUUAUGACAAAUUUACCCCAAACUAAUUUAUUCGACCACAAAAAAAAUGGUAAAUUUGUGACAAAUAUAUCCUCCACUAAAUUGAAUUAAUACCAUAGUAAACCGUGACAAACGGAGCGUAAAAUCUCAAAUUGAUAUACUAGUCAACUGUCACAUGUCAUUUAACUUAAUAAUUUGACAGUAAAAUUUAAUGAAAACUAAUAGAAGGUAAAUUUGUCACAAGUGUACCAGUUUAGAGUAAAUUUGUCAAAUAUAUAACAAUUUAGAGUUUUUUGUGGUAAAAAAAAAUAGUUUGGAGUAAAUUUGUCACAGGUAUAUCAGUUUGGGGUUUUUUAGGGUAUUAACCCUAUAAUUAAUUUAGUUUUAAAUUUAAUCUUAUUAAUUUUUCAUGAAAAAUUCAUAUGUUAAAUUUAUUGGCUCACAUGUCAUUGUCACUUGAUGUGUAUGAUAUAUAGAAUAGUCCAAGAAAUUUGACUUUAGAUACAUGGGAACCCGCGAAUGGUCAUACAUUGUCGAUUACACAUUCAACAUGAUGUAUUAGCUAAUCAUAGUCCUCUAACGGUUUAUAUUUGCUUAAUAUAUUUCAAGAAUAUUAAUUUGUUAGACUUGUCCGCUCACACGCCGCUGUCACUCGAUGUGUAUGAUAAGCAGAAUAGUCGAAGAGCUUUGACUUUAGAUACUUGGGAGUGUCUAUGCUUGUUUUAUGUCUAUUAUGCUUGCAAUGCUUCUUGUUUUGAGUGGACAGUACAAAUAUUUAAGUCCGUGUCAAUUUGAACAAUUUUCUUUAUUAUAGAGCAACAGUCUUUAAUCUAUUGUGUUCUUGACCACAAAAAACCAAAUAACAAAUAAGUAUAAAUUAUUGUAGGGUCCAACGACAAUCUUUAAUCUAUUGUGUUCUUGACCACAAAAAAUCAAAUAAUAAAUAAGUAUACAUUAUUAUAGGACCCACUCCUUUAAAAAUUUGUUGUUCACAAAAACUUAUUUAUUCUCAUAAUAACCCAAAGUUAUGCUAGCAAAAAUGCAAUUUAAUCCUAAAAUUUGUCACGAAAUGCAAUUGAGUCCUAAAAUUUUCAAAAAGUACAAUUAAUUAUAAAGAUUUAUCAAAAUUGGUCCAAUUUAAGUCAUUCCAUUCAUUGCAAUUUUUGAAAGUUUUAGAGCUCAAUUAUGCUUUCCUAACAAGUUUUAUGACUUAAUUAUAAUUUUUGAAAAUUUUAGAACUUAAUUGUAAUUUAUGAUAAGUUUUAGGAUUUCUAGUACACUUAUCUUUUUUUUUUGUUUUUCACCUCAUUAAUCUUUUUUGCAACAAUGAGCUUGACAUAUCUCUGUUUUGAGGAUUUCAGUGGCUAGGGGAAACACAGGGAUGUCCUCUAAUGAAUCAACAAUCUUCCUGCCAUGACAAUGCCGGAAGAGAGAUGAGUGUCUUACAUAGUUAACAAAAAUGUUCAUGUUAUAAUUGGUAAGCAUUCGCUUUCCCAACGUGCAUGAACAUUUCCGGCGAUGAAACAUUCGUGAGGAGCCAGUAAAGACAUCCUGUUAUUUAAACCGGCAAGAGGAUAUCGAGCUUGCUCUAUUGGCAAGUAUAUUGUUGUCAGAUAAGCCUAAUAAAUCCGAUAUUUUCAUACAAAAAAUCGUCAUCGAGGCCAACUUAAUCCAAAAUGCCAAUGGACAGGCUUGGGUAAGCUAGUGGAUAGGUAUGCCGCUUUAUCUUAUGUCGUGUUAUCUCACGAGAGAUGGUGCUGCGUUCUCUUUAGAAUGCACAUGACUUGGGAUAGGAAAACCUUAGGAUCCGACUAGGAGGAAGGAAAAAAGCAAUCUAUUGUCGGGCCAAUAUAAGAUCAUUUCAUGUCAAACUCCGCAGUCUUGAGGCCAUGGAAUCUACGACAUACUUGCUCAUUCACAAGGACUGAGCAAAUAAAUGAUAAAAUAAGAGCAAUGGUCGUCAUUGAUCGUCUGCCCUUUAACUGAUUGGAUUCUAAAUAUUUUAUUUUCAAUUGGGGUCUAAAUAUUUUAUUUGAUUCAAUUGACUUCUAAAGAUUUCCAAUUUUAGUCAAUCAAGUCCCUCAAAUAUUAUCCUCGGAAAGAGCCACAUGGCUGUGAUUUUCCUAGUGGCUAAGGAGAUGCUUGAGGAGAAAACCUGUAGGAGAGGCGAAGCCAUCCAAGCAGAACUCUCAAGAAGUCAAUUUUUCAGACAGUUUCUCAAUCAUCACAUAGAGAAGUACCAGGAUUUCAUUACCCAUUUCACUUGUUUCUGCUAUAAAACUCACGAGUAUCGAAGUAUAUCAGGCAUAGUUUAUUUGUACUCCAGCAGAGCAAUUAAGAAGGCAUAGAUGAUGCUCUCCUCUAGCUGAAAGCCCGAAACUCCCACUUUUCCUCUGUGUGAUCAGCCUUGCCAGCAACAAUUUCCAACUACCCAAAUUGAUGUUGAAAUUUAAUCAAAUAGACUCAGAGAAGAAAACAAACAAGAGAAUUGUUGCUGUAACUUUCGUUACUUUAUUCAUCAGAACAUAAGCCUAUUAAAUAGGCAGAACAUCCAAACCACUUAGCAAGACAAUAGCUAUAGAACAACAACAAAGACCCACUAACAUACCCCACUAACCAGAACAUAUGCAGAAACUAACUCCUAAAAACAAGCCACAUCCUAUUGACUAGGACUCCACUAUUACAUUAUUGAAGACACGUAAAAACUGAAAGUUAACUACUUCAACAAUUGAUGGUGUCACUUCAAGGAGUUCUCAAUGUCAAUCACGAAUCGAUACUUAACAUCUCUCUUGAUGAGCCUCUCCAGAGCUUCGUUGGCGUAAUCGAUCGGUAUCACUUCAAUGUUUGGGUAUAUCUUCUGCACCGCACACAAGUCUAUCAUUUCUUGGGUAUUCUUUGUUCCUCCCGUUACGCUACCCGUAACAGUUCUCAUAUCUGCCAAAAGUUCACCGCGAGCAACUUAAUUCACCUAUCAGGUAUGAAAUUUCAUUUAGUAAUCAGAUUUGAGAACAAAAACAUACUGAGGUUAAGGCUGGCUGGACUGAAUUUAACUUCGCUCGGGACGCCGACCAAUGCUAGAAUGCCACCCGUCUUCAAAAGAGACAUGUAAGGAUCAAAUGGGUGAUCACCGGCUGCCGUGUCGAUUAUAAAGUCCAGGGACUUAGCAAUGGCCUGCGUGCAUUGGAUUUAUCAGAUCACAACAGAAUUUGACCACCAUGGAUCUCAAUGUGGAUAAUUCUAGUUUUUCCUCUUUUUACCUUCAUCUGCUCCAGGUCAGAUGAGAUAAUGAAAUGGUCAGCCCCAAGCAGGCUCAGUGCUUCCUCCUUUUUAGAAAUGCUUGUACUUAACACUGUGACUUUCAGUCCAAAAGCCUUCCCAAACUUAACUGCCAUAUGACCGAGCCCACCAAGUCCAAUUACACCUAGAGACUUACCAGGUUGGUUCAUCUUGUGACGUAUCAUUGGAGUGUACACCGUGAUUCCAGCACAGAGCAAUGGCGCUGCUAGAUCCAUCGGGUAGUUUUCUGGAAUCCUGAAGCAAUACCUGUCAAUGAAGCACCACAAUUAAGUUUCCAAAUAACACCAAGACAGGAAGUGAUUUCCCAAUAGAAUCAGCAUCCUGUCUUUGUUGUCUAAAAGGAAUCAAAUCACAGAGCCAGAAAUCCUAUCUUCCACAUGCUUGGGAAUUUUACUUGCUUAGACCACAAUUCAGCAUCAUGUUGUUUCUGUGAUCCUUGUUCUGACCACAAAUUGCUCUAGACAAACAUUUCUUGCUGUAGCAACGUAAAUAAAGCAAUUGCAGCAUACUGGAGACCACACUCGAUUAAAAUUAAGAAAAGACACUUGCUCUAAGAAAGGAAACUAGUGGCAUAUCAUGUAUGCUUGACUGAACACGUAAUUUUGUAUUUCCUUCAAUCAAUUUCUCCAAAGGACUCAAGAUUCCUGCGGCUCUAUCAGAAACAAGAAUUAGUGAAAGCGCAUACAUUUAGCUACUCAUUUGAUCUGAUACUUAUGAUCUAACUCUAACAAUCUAAGGACAGCUUAUUCCAUUCUUGACAAUGGUUAUUCAAAAGAAAGAAUUUCUUUUCGCAUUUAAUAAAGCCAGUUCUCCAUUGAAUGGUUUGAAUGGUAAUUGGAUACAGAGGACUUAAAGACUCUCCAGAGUCGUUAUAGAAAGUAUCUUUAUCCCUUUCCACAAGAUGCAAUUAAUGCCUAAAAGCCAUUCCUCACAGUCCUAUGCAUUAUGCCACUUCUGGUCACAAUCAGAAUAAGAAGAAAAUUAGCAGAGAAGAAGACAUGACAUGAAAUCUUUUUUUGGCCACCAUGAUUUGGAAUUCUGUCACAGUGCAAAAUGCUGCCUAAUAACACUGUGUCAGUAAGCAAUUACCUUUCAUGGACGACAAUGUGACUAGAAUAUCCUCCCUUUGUCACUGUACCAUCUGCAUCAAUUCCAUCAAAAGUCAUAACCGACUUUUCACAUUGGACUUCUAGCCUGUCAUUGCAAUACUCGCACUCUCUGCAUGAAUUGACAUAAGUUCCCACCCCCACAUGAUCGCCAACUUUGAAGCGUUGGACACUGGAGCCAACCUGUUUCACAAUUCCAACUAUCUCGUGCCUGAAUCAAUCAAAAAAAAUUUUCGCAAAUUUUGUUCAGAGAAUUAUGAGGAUGGUGCUAAGAAAAAAGAUUUAACAUUUGAAUCCCGCUGCAUCCUACCCCGGCACCAGAGGAUACUUGGAGUGUCCCUGCACAUUCCUAGUCCAAGCCACAUCUGCGUAGCACACUCCACAGUGCGUGAUCUUAAUCGAGACGUCUUCGCUUCCCACGGCCCUAAAGAGAUGAUUCCCAAACAGGUGAGCAUAUAAUCCAGUGACUAAUCAGACUAGGGUGCCCUUUUUUUCCAUUUUCAAGAUCAACAAACUAAACUUGACCUACGAUUAUUGAGGAAACAAGAAACCAGAAAUGAGAAAAGGAAAAAUUCCAUGACUACAAGCAUAUUUGUCCAUACGGUAGAUACAACCUCAAAUGCUCAGAAAGGCAGCCAGUACAGGAUCCUCAUGUCUGCAGCCAGUACAGGAUCCUCAUGUCUGCCAUGAAAUUCUGAGUAACCCAUAACCAACAAUUCUCGACUCAGAAUUCAGCGCAUACACAACAAAAGAAAGAACGAAAAAAAAUGAAAUGGUCUGGACCGAAACUGUCUCUCGUGAACACUGUACUGAGACUCUCGCAUGAACACUUCGGUAGAAAUCGAAAAAGAAAAAAAAAAAAAAUGGCAAUACCUGCGGGUGAAUUUGUAGGGGGAGAGGAACCCAGAAGGGUCCCGGGCAGCCCAACCGAGGCAAUCCUCCUUCCCACCCUCCGAGCUCAUCUUCUGCACCUACACACCCGGCGAAGCAAUCACACAAACAGGUACGGUUAGAUUCAUCCAAAGAAGAAGAAGAAAGGGUGAGAACGCGAACGAGAGAGUGCCCAAGAUCAGAGACUCGACGGGUCAUCACACGGCGACGACUCGAGUCACAACGAGCUCGCCAUCACUCAUCAACUCACUCACUCACCCACCCCCACCUACCCAAGCACAACCCCACAGCAACUCAGAGAGAGAGAGAGAUGACUACGGAGAUGGAGAGAGGUUACGCGGUGGUGGAGUAUGCGGUAGCGCGAAGAGGGUGAUGAGCCGAGCAGAGUCGAGGACGGGAGGUUCAACGAAGACUUUUGCCCCCUCCUACUUUGCAGGAAAGCUACGAGUCGUCGUAUGGAUUUUAUGGCGGUGGCCCCUAGGCUCUAAAAGAAGGUUCGAGGAGCCUACUGCCUAGCCUUCUUUUGCUGUUGGUUUCAAUAUCUGCUGCUUUUCCGCCUUAGCCCAACCGACAUCGCCCUCAAAAGACAUCAAAGAUAAGGUAGUUGGAAGGAAACAUCAUCCGAAACUUAAAGAUGGGGUAGUUGGAAGGAAACAGUAUACGAAACUUUGGUUCAAUAGGUAACGUGAUUUUCUAAAUUUUUAAUUUACCCAAUAUGAUUUUUUAAAAUUUUGGUAUAGAUUCAACUUAGUCUUUAGAGUAUAUAUUGUCGCAAAUUUUAAAUUAAUAAAAUGACGACGUUGAAUAUUUUCAUAUGAUCAAAUGACAACAUUAAAUAUGUACUAAAAUUUUGAAUAAUAUUGAAUAUUUUCAUAUAAUUUUGAGAUUAUAUAGAAUAUGUAUCAAAGAUCAUUAACUAUAUAGUUCCGUUCAAUUUGCGGAAAAUAAUUUCCGAAAAACCGUUUUUCAGAUUUUUCGACAUUCAUUUCAUGAAAAAUGAAUUCAUUGGGAAAAAUGUUUCUUCUAAAUUAAGGGAAAAUGUUUUCCACUUUUAAAAAGUGAAAAACAUUUUCUUCACUCGAUCUCUCUUAUCUUACACCUCUAAAAAUCUCUACUUUAUCCUCACAUUUCUUUUUCUUCUUUUCUUUUUUUAAUUCAAAUUAUUUUUAAUUUCCUUUUUAUUUUAUUUUUAAUUUUUCUUUAUUUUUCUUUUUCUUUUCUUUGUUUCCCAUCUUUUCUUUCUUGGCUAGUUGUCAGUCAUUACCAAGCGAAUCUCGAGUUCGUCAAUCUUAAGCUCACACUCUGUACUCUUACUUAUCAUUUUCUUUAUUUACUCUAUCCUGCAGUUGUAUAUUGCUCAAACAAAUGGCUCUACAUGCUUUGCUUCUUUUUUCUUUUGUUUAUUAGAACACAAAAGACGCAUGAGAGAACAGGCCACUCAACUGGAAGAUUCUCAUUAGGGCUGUACAUGCUUUGCUUCUUUUCUCUUUUACUUCUUUUUAAAAUCCAUACAGACAUUUUUUAGAGUAGAUGAGCGUUUGACAACAAUGAGGGAACAAAGAUAUGCUCGAAUUUAAAUGCAAGUUCAUAUUUGAUGGGUUUAUAGGUCGGUAAGUGAUGCAUGCCUAAGUGGUGAAGUCUUAGAAAAUAUUUUCCUUACCAAACACCGAAAAAUAAUUUUCGAAACAUUUUCAAGUUUUAGCUUAACACUAGAAAAUAUUGUAAUUUUCCUAGAAAAUGAUUUUUGGAAAAAUAUUUUCCGGAAAUGACCAAUUUUUCACGAAACGAACGGACCCUUAGUCUCGGGAGUUUCUAUGUUACAUAUGAUCUAGUCCUUCAACUUUUCUAUUUGUAUACACUCAAAUCUUUUGUCAUAUUCAGUUUUUAUGCAGUUAAGUUUUAUUUUGUUCAUUCAAAUCAUUCAAUGUUCUCGACUAGUGCAAUUGAGUGCUUCACUCACCCAUCAUAACACACAAUUCCAUUUUUCUUUUUCCAAGUUUGCUUUUCGCUCAUUUGGCACCACCUCAACAUUGUGCGAUAUUUUCUACCUCAAUGAUAAUACUAUGUUAUUGAUUACUAUGACACAUUCAGCAAGAGGAUUUACUGAACGAUUUAAUUGCACGAAUCAAGAAAGUUAGAAGACUUGAUUGAACAAAAUAUAAAGUUAAGAGGAUCAAAUUGUGCCGAUAUGGAAAUUUGGAUGACUAAAAUUGCAUCAAACCCUUUUAUAGGGAGAUGGGUCAGCCACAAUAACAUAUUCUUUUUCAGUGACUGGCUUUGACACAACCAAUGCAACAUUAGUACGAAAAUGAAAGAUGAGUGGACAAAAGAAGGGCAACAGAUGUUAAACGAAACCUGUUUCCCAAAAGCACCAUGCAGAAACUUCCUUUCAUUGGAAAAUUUUUCUUGAAACGGAACUAAAGAUUACUGGCUUCGACAUAACCGAUGAACAUACCAAGAGCUGAGGCCUUAUCCAACAACAACGUGAAAAUGAAAAAUGAGUUGAAAAGAAUGGACAGCAGCUGUCAAAUUAAACAUUUUUUCCAUGUCUCGUUCAGAACUUGUCACUCCUUCAUUACAAUCUUGACCCUUUUGAAAUUGGAAGUGAAGGUUACUGGCUUCGACAUGACCAAUGUAUAACUUGUCGCUCAUGCAAUAUGGUAUAUAGAAAUGAAAGAUGAGUAGAAAAAGAAAUGGACGAUUGCUGUCAAAUUAAAACCUUUCCCAAGUCAACUUGUCGCUCCCCUUCCUUCCAUUAAAAUGCUUUUAUGGUGGAACUGAAGAUUACUGGCUUUGACACAACCAAUGUAAACCCUCCAAGAGGUGAGAGAACUUAUGCAAAAGUAUAAAAAUGAAAGACGAGUCAAAAAGAUGAGGACAAUAACCAAAUGCGUGCAACUCAAUUGCACUUUUUGAUAAGGAUAAACUGCACCUCUCCUCAUCAUUGAAAGAGAUAGGAUUAAACGCAGACGUGAUUGACAUAGAGAUUCUUACUAGAAAUUAAAUAAAAAUAAGUCUUUCUUGGUAACAGGAUGUUUGUUCUCGUGACCGUGUAGGUCUUUCUAGGUUCUCUGACGCGUGCCAUGAGGUCAUGGCAUGUUAUGCAACCAGAGAUAUCCAUUCCAUAUUUCUAUGGUAUCUAUCCAUCGUUACCUCCCGUGAACCUAAGAAGAACAAAACCAAUCCAUAAAGCUGGAGGAUCAAGAACAACCCGCCCUAAGUUAUUGAUGAACUGAGUUAACUGUUUGAAGCCUAAGUAGCGAAUCAUUUAAAGUUUAAGCUACUAAAAUGUCAGAUGCCAAACAGAAGGAAAAUCUACAGAGCCAACAUCUGCAUCGGAUCAACGAUGGCAUAUCAACAACUAAGGGAAAAAUCUGCUACUAAAUAUUUAUCUGAAACUAUAAGCGAGGAUCACGUUGCACUUGCAUAAGUCUGUUAACGCAGGUCAAUGGUCAUGUUCUGGCCAGCUAUGUAAGAAGUUUGAAAACUCUACACGGACAGGCACCAUUUGCAAGAAGACCUGUUCCCUCAAAUGCUCAUCUUUGUACUGAGCUGGAAAUGCUUUUAGCAGAUGACUGUGCCUCCAGAAACAAAUCGCAUGAAGUGGCCCACAAUUCUCUGGCAAGUCCAGUGUCGUACGAAACUAAAGAAGAGUUGAUAGUCCGGCCCUUCCCACCAAAGAAUACACACCAGAAAUUUCCUAUAUUUGCAAGACAGCGGCUAUUAGUAAGCACUGUUCCAACAUAUAAUAGCAGCCGCAUAAGAUUGAUACCACAGAUUAUCAGCAGAGAAGGGAAAAUCAAUUCUGGAAACACUCUGUCAUACCGUAGAAUCAACAUUAAUGGAUUUUACGUCCAAUGCUAGUACGACCUCAAUUGAGGAUAAAACGAGAGAGACUCAUUCAAGAUGGUUCAGAUAAGUGAAGCACCAGUACAGGAAUGCUUUACACCAGCCCCAUUUAGUGGGAAAAAAUCACUAUCACCCAUAUCUGCAGCUGUGGUUGCCUAUUGAGAUGAAACACAAGUGAUUUCAUUGCAGUCCCAUCUAGCAGUCCCAUCUAGCAUAUAGCAGAAAUUAAAGAUAACGAUUGCAGUCAGAAAAACACAUAAGAGAAUUGUUGCUGUAACUCUCGUUACUUUAUUCAUCAGAACAUAAGCCUAUUAAAUAGGCAGAACAUCCAAACCACUUAGCAAGAAAAUAGCUAUAGAACAACAACAACAAAGACCCACUAACACACCCCACUGACCAGAACAUGUGGAGAAACUAACUCCUAAAAACAAGCCAUUUCCUAUUGACUAGGACUCCACUAUUACAUUAUUGAAGACAUGUAAAAACUGAAAGUUAACUACUUCAACAAUUGAUGGUGUCACUUCAAGGAGUUCUCAAUGUCGAUCACGAAUCGAUACUUAACAUCUCUCUUGAUGAGCCUCUCUAGAGCUUCGUUGGCAUAAUCGAUCGGUAUCACUUCGAUAUUUGGGUAUAUCUUCUGCGCUGCACAUAGGUCUAUCAUUUCUUGGGUAUCCUUUGUUCCUCCCGUUAGGCUACCUGAAACAGUUCUCAUAUCUGCCAAAAGUUCACCACGAGCAACUUAGUUCACCUAUCAGGUAUAAAAUUUCAUUUAGUAAUCAGAUUUAAAACAAAAACAUACUGAG